rnacentral:lncRNA from 1 species
UUCCUUUCCCUAUUUGACAAAUUUAACCAAAUGACUAUUUUUGCCAACGUGGCCCCUUUCCAAAUUCUCAUGAAAUUUUUAGGUCGGGGAGUAUCUAUUUUAUGACAGUAUACAAACUUGUCCAUUUUUUACGAAAACAGUUUUUCGACAACUGAAAGAUACUCUAAGGCUAUUUUGGAAAGAGCAGUUUAAUACAUUGUCGAAGUUGGCUCGGCUUAUUUUGACCACAAUCCAAACGACAUUCACUUGCAUUUGGGAACAUUCAGCUAUUUUUGAUAAAAACGGCAUCACCUGACUUCUUUAUGGCAUAAAUUAAAACUUUGACAUUUUUUGCCUUUCGUUUUUUUUUCAAAGGGGAGGUUGGACAUCUCUCGAUUUAUUUAUGACAAAAAUUAAAAUUUUGACACAUUUGUUUUGGCUAUUUUUGCAAAACGGGAGGUUGGACCAGAUGAGGGUUGUCUGCGUAUCUCACAUCCAAUGAGAAUCAAACCAGCCUAGUUCGCCCAAUUAACCGAACUAUUUUAAAAUAGGACUCUUUUCCAUUUUUAUUUUUGGCAUUUCAUAAACAAACAACAAAACUACUUUCAAAAGCACGACUCUUUUUCAUUUUUAUUUUUGGUAUUUCAUAAACAAAUAAAAUAACUAUUUUAAUAUAAAAAAAAGACUCUUUUUUUUCAUUUUUGGCAUUUCAUAAACAAGUAAAAUAAAAGAACUAUUUUAAAAAAAAAACAAGACUUUUUUUUUCAUUUUAAUUUUUCAUGGCAAGACAAACUAUUUUCCUUUCUAGUUUUGAAAGCAAGACAAAAUAACGACUCUUUUUUUUCCUUUUUUUUCAACAAACAAUAAAACAACAUAUUUUUUUCAAACUAAAAUAAAGACUCUUUGUUAAUAGAGCAACUAUUUAAAAACAAACAUUUCUUUUUCCAAAAUUUCGGCAGAGUUUCGAUAGUAUUUUGGCAUUGGUUUUUCCUAAAAAUAGGUGAUUACACUCUACACAGCUAGUUUUAUUUUCUCUUUUUUUCACAAUUUUCCAGUAUUCAAAGCCGGUCAGCAAGUAAGUUCGAAGCAAAAUAAAUGUGCAAAACAAAUAAGAUGCAGCAGGAUGGUCUUUUUUUUUUGUUUUAGGUUGCUAUUCCUAGACGGACUCAACCCCUGUGUUGAGUCCCCUAAGUCAAAAUGCAUAUGAUGCAAAUAAGCAUUCGUAUUAGGGAUCUGGCAUGAGGCUGGGUCAUUCUCGGUUCAAAACCUGGGUGAUUGUUCUAGACCUGGCUUACCCGAGCGGAUAGCUCAAGCCGAGGGGGAGGCAGCAAUCUGGGAAUACAGGUGCUUCGACGGCUUUGCAACUUAUCCAAACCUCGUUCUAAAUUGGGAUUUGACACUAUACAGAAAAGAAGUCAUACAAAGUACACCAUUCUUCAUGAUUCAGAAGACUCAUAGAGGAGAUGGUUUUCGGCACAGUUUAUAUACAAUUCACAUAAUAUCAAAGUGGUAAAAGUAGUCAAUUAGCACGAUAAGCUCAAAUAAUGUAACAAAAUCAGAUAAAGCCAAACAUAACAAUUUAUCUAAGCUCGAAUUUCUAACCCUGAACCAGUGGUUCUGCGUUAUCUUCCCCUACAGAGUCGCCAGAGCUGUCACACCUCCUUUUUCCGUCUCGCGAGGGUACAUGGAGUUUUUUCCAAUUAAAGGACAAUCGAACGGGAUUGGAUUAAUUAUUUCAUAUUCGCCACCUGGGAGAUUUAUGGUGUCCCAAGUCACCGGUUUUAAUCCCAAAUCGAGGAAAAGGGUGACUCUAAAUUACAGUCUGCGUACCAAAUAUCCGGAUAAGGAAAUCUGUUAACCCGGGAGAAGGGGUUAGGCAUUCACGAGUUUCGUGGUUUUAGCACGGUCACUCAAUUGUUAUAUUUGGCUUAUUAUCUGACUUUGAACAAAUAUGUGAUUGGUGCAAAGUGUGACUUCUUACCGCUUUUAUUAUUACUAUUGUUAUUUUUAUAAAGAAUUUCAAUGUCGUGAAAACGUAUCUCGAACCACGUCACAAAUAGUGUAUGUGUGGUCGUCGACACAUUUCGACUACGUUGAGAUUUGGAUUUGGGAUGCAUGAAUGCACACCCAUAUUUAGGGAGGUAGAUUAAUAAAGACGCGCCCUAAGCGACUAGCGUAGUGUUGUUUUGGACCAGGCCAUGAAUUUCAUUAAACGGCCUGUUCCGGAGUCUAAGAAACCUUUGCAGAACACAUGUAUAGAGGGCUCGCAAUUUGUGUAUUUUUAUUUGGCGAGGCACGCCUCAUUUUAUUUUAAAGGAUAGCCUAAAGCGACUACAUUUUCUAUUUCGUUACGUCUCAAAAAAUCCAAAAAAAAAAAUCCUAUAUUAUUCACAUGCUUACGAGUUAUUGGCUAAGUUUUGAACCUAAACAGUUAACUCUAAAAAUGGAUGGGAACAUGAGGGAAUACAGUUUUGUGCCCAGGCCCAACGUGCGUGGUGCAAAACUGGACAUGUGCCAUUUCUAUUUUAGCGUUUGGCCUACUACUAGCAUUUGCACAUGUUUGGUAUUUACAGUAAAGCAGAAUUGGAAUCAAUAAUUAAAACACCCUUUAUGAAUCUAGAUAAGUAAGUUUGCUAACUAAACUAGUUUAAAUUAUUGAUUAAUCAACCUAAAGCCUAUAUACGCAUCAGAAACAUGCUUGUAAAGUAUUUGAAACAUUAGAGUGUCACCACUACAUUAUUAGUUCUUUAAACUAACAUACAGGACAUGAUAUCUACUGCUACAACACUAGGUAUCAGGUGUACAUACAGAACUACUACAUGUUAACUACUGUAUAUACACAACUUAAGCAAAUAAAUAACUUCAAAGCUUUAAGGCUUCAUUAUUAUUCAUGCUUCAAACUUUCAGCUACAUUGUGUACCAGUAUAAGUUUGUGUACCUGGUAUUUCUGAACAAAGGAAAGAGGAAGAUCAAUAAAAGUAGUAGAAUCACAGCAGUAGUAGUGCAGCAACACAGAUUCAGCAACAGCAAUACAAUUAGUGAAUCCAAUAAUAGAUAACCCAGUAAUAGAUGAAAAAUCAAACAGAAGGAGUCUAGGAACAUAUGCAAUAAAACUUGAAUACCAACAACAACUCAAUACGCCCAAAUGAGUUAUGGAAAAUACCAAUUCAACUCUCGUUUAUGAGUUCUAAAAUUUUUCUCUCAAAAAAUUCAGUUCUAUAUUUUUUAGUUCUCAAUUUAUGAUUACAAAAAUUUUCUCGUGAAUUUCUAAUGUCCAAAAUUCAGUCCUUAAUUACUCCUUAACUCUAUGUAUUUAUAGUAACCCCUAAACCUUCCCUCCUUUGAAAAACUUCACUUACCCAACCAACCACCCCAAGAAAAUCUGCCUAUUUUCAACUAAAUCCCACUAAGGAAGGCGUUUCCUUAUUUUCUUCCCUAAAUCAAGGCAUGAUAUAAGGGUUUAUUCCCCACUAGCAUUAAACUAAUGUAUAAGUUCUUGUCCUAUUAUUGCUUGACUAACAGACCAUUAAUUUGGUCAAUUCUGACCAUUUUCCAUUCCCAAAAUACUCCUAUAAUCCUACUGUUAUUACCGUCAUGCCCUUAACCCUAUGUUUACUGGUCUGAAACUACAACCUAUAAAAAGCGCAUACUUAAAAACUGAUUUCAGAUUGAAUUGAUAUACUAUUAUAGCCAAUUCAUCCUAGAUUCAGAUUUUAAUUCAAACAAAUGACUCAAUCAGAAUUGAAGCAGUGAAUUAUCAGCAAAUUUGCUAUCAGGUUAUUCCAACGUUCAAACAAUCAAAGCUAAUCGACGACGCUUAUUUAAUCGACUAAAUACACACAAACAACAUACAGGCUAAACAUGGAACAUAGUGAUUCAUGUUUUUGGGACGAACUAGGGAACUUAACAUGAACUAACUACUGGACAAUUUUAACCAAGUUGAACACAUAGUUCAUCACAACUAAUUAACAAACAAAAUAGAAAAUCGACCAAAUAAAGGGUUUGUGGGAGAUGAAUGAUUUGACAGAAAAAUAAAUAAAAAAUCAAAUAAAUAAAACAAAUAUGCAAAUGAACACAAAUAAUCAAAUAUAGAAAUAUAAGGAAAAAGAAAACAUAUCUUUGAAAAACUCCUGAAACGGACCAGUCUUGAGUCAGGCAUGACCAUUCGAGGUCGAACAAACUCUAAUUGGAGUGUUCUCAAUUGAGAACACCUAGAUUAAAGCCUAUUAAACCUCAAUCUCCCAUAAAUUUGAAUAGACGCCCUAGUUUUGGAUUUUAGGGUUCAUACAUGUGAUUUGGGGCUUGGGGUUUUCUGGUCAGAUUCGAACCAAACCAAUGAUAGUUUGGUGACGGGGGAUGCUGGGGAAAGGUCUUGUAUGAGUUUGGGGUGGAUUGGCAUGGGUUGAGUCUUGACUCGAAUCUUCAAAUGAACAUUCAGAAGACCUAGGUUAAUUCAAGCCAAGCUGAUGAUGGAUUCGUGUUCAGGGGGUUGAGAUGUAUUAGGGGUGUUAUUUUGGUGAUCAUUGGCAUCAUGGCCUCCGGGCUACGAGCUUGGGGUUUCCAUGGCGGUUAGUAGGGUUUGGGAGGUGUCUGGUUCAUCUCUAAGAGAGACAAUGAUUGGGGGGCUGGCAAUGGGGGCGUGGGGUGUGAGAAAUAGGGUUUAUAUACAGGGGUGGAGUAAUGGAUCCUGACCGUUGGAUCAGAUGGGAUUGAUGGCCAGGAUCUCUUCACUAAAGGGAACGACGUCGUGUAGUUAAGUGUGAGAUGAACGGCCUAGAUCAAUUAUCCUUAUACGACGUCGUUUGGUUUGAAUUGAGCUCUGAUCUGUGCCAUUUGAUCAGUCUGAUUGAUGGUUCAAAUGAGAGGCGCCAAUACGGCGUCGUUUCAUUGUCUGGGAGACCGGGUCGAUGUGGACUAGGUCAGUAAAUGGAUUGUGCCUGAUUUUUUGUGUUGAAUUUCUAGCCAUCCCGAAUUUUCUCUUCAAUUUGAAUUCCUUUUCUUUUCCUUCUAAAAACCAAAAUUCUGAAUUAAUUUUUAAAAAUCAAAAUAAAACAACAAAAUAUUAAUUAACACUUACAACAUUUAAUACACACAUUAAAUCAUUUAAUAAAAAAUAAAAUCACCUAAUGACAACAAGGAUAGAGUAAAAAUGCAUAUUUUGUGAUUUUCCUUUAAAACCCCAAAUUAUGUUUUAAUUAAUUCCUAAAUGCACAAUUAAGUCCUAAAAAUGCAUGCAAUAUGUAUUUUUGUAUUUUCAAUCAACUAUAACACAGUAAACUUUUACGGACCAAAAUAAUCACCAAAAUGUCACACCAAUUCUCAAAAUUCUACUCGAAGGUAACUUGUUUUAUUUUUCGAUUUCUUUUGGAGUGAUUUCCGUAGAGCAAAAAUCACAUGCUCACAGCAUGUUACUAUAUUCUUUAAUUGCUAUAGUGAAGUGUUGUUAUAAAGAACAUAUACUACAACAUAACAUAAUAAUCAUACAAGGAAAACUCAACUUUUAUAGCAAAUAGCUAUUAUAUAGGGAUAACGUUAUAGGUAGGUCUGAUUGUAUCUAUUAAAAACAUUACGGACCCGCUCUAUGACUCCACUCAUUAGACCUUUCCACUUUUCCUUUAGAAAAAACUAUUGCAGAAGUCAGAUAAAACAAAUAAGAAAUUAAUAUGAAUUUUUAAUUAUAAUAAAGGAGAUGAUCAUUAUAUGGUCGAAAAUUGGACCCGUCUAUUCCAUGACAGGUCGGGACUGAAACGGAAAGGGUUAAACAUUGACCCCGAUUUUCAUUGAACAAGGAUAUGUGGUCAGAAUGCCGUCUUCAAGAACAUCGAGUCCAUGACCCCGAAAUCGACCCUGACCCCGAAAUCGACCCUGACCCCGAAUGCGCUCGAGGAAAUAUUAUAAGGCCGGAAAACGGAAGGCCAAAAUAUCUGUAACCAGUGGGGUAUCACAACGGGAAUCUCGACACGUAUCAAUGAGAAACCGGCUAAUUAGCAAAUCAUGAGAUUUUUUACCUUUUAUAGAUUUGUACCUAAAGUAGGACUCCCCUACUAUAUAAAAGGGGUAUGAUUAUUUGUUAAGGAAAUUGUUACACGGAUCUCAAAGUAAUAUAAUAUUAUUUUUUUCUGUAAGCUAUUGUUCUUCUGUAUCUGAUAUCGUUUGAUUCAAUCACCCAGUUCAAGUGAGACUUACUUUUCAAUGCUAUAACUUUUCAAGUUUUACGGUUUGAAUUUAAUUUAUCAUUGUUCGCUUUAAUUACAAUUCAGUUUAUCGCUUUGCAUUAAUUUAAUUCAUGUAUCCUUAAAGGGUGUUUUGGAGCACUAAGGGCGACUAGUGGUUGCUUCGCUCGACAAGACUGAAACCUUCGCUUGCACCACUAGAGUCGUUCCGGCACUGUUAUCUGAUUUUGAGGGUAAAUAGUUUAGCGCCCACCGAUGAGCUAAGGAUAAUAGUGGUUAUUUGAUACAAAUGUCUAUAACACAUACUAUUUUACACUUGUUCUUUGGAGUGUCUCUAAUUUCAUGUUAAAGCUCAAAAUGUCAAACUCACAACUGGCACCCCUACUUGCUGACAAUGAGUCCGGUCACUAUGGUGAAAAUGACAACAUAGCACCCGAUAACGAGGUACCACCCGUAGAUCCCAACGGAAUUCCAGUCAUGGGCCCGUUGAACGCUAACUCGUUUGUGGUAUCGACAUGAACCUGCCUACCGACCCCAAGAAUAGCAUCUGUGGUGGAGCUGGAUCGACAACACAGAUUACAUUACAAUGGAGGAGUUAGGUUCAAUCUAUAGAUGAUCUUUGAAAUGUUACAGGCUCAAUAGGCGGCGAUAGCUCAGUUACAAUACCAAAAUCGCACACCGAGCAUAAUUGAACCUGAUCUGUCCAGGAAAGUCACCUGCAUGGAAGAACCAAUCAUGGGGAGCUCAAAUGGAGAUGAGCCGGGGACUAACCCUGAGAUCAUAAAAAUGCCCAAAGAGCUUAAAAUCAGAUAGCAUCAGGGAAAAAGAAAAUCGAGGCAAAUGACAAGAAGGUAUAAAUCCACAAAUCCAGGGUCGACCAAAGGCUUGGACUCAAAAAAGGUCAUGCAAAAACCUUUCCUUCCAAUUGCGGCCCCAAAACCGAUCCCUAAAAACUUUUGUAUGGCUAAGAUUCCUAAGUAUAACGGGACGACCGACCCGAACGAGCAUGUCACUUCCUACGCAUGCACCAUCAAAGGGAAUGACUUGGAGGAUGAUGAGAUCGAGUCUAUUUUGUUGAAGAAAUUUGGAAAGACCUUGCCAAAGGGAUCCAUGAUAUGUAUCAUAACUUGCCUCCGUAUUCUAUUGACUCAUUUUCUAUGCUUGCAGACUCUUUCGUGAAAGCACACGCCGAGCCUAUCAAGGCAGAGACCAGGAAGUCGGACCUCUUCAAAGUAAGACAGAAGGAUAAUGAGAUGCUCGAAGAGUUCGUGUCUCGAUUUCAAAUGGAACGGUUGGACCUGCUACCGGUCGUUAAUGAAUGGGCGUUCAAGCAUUCGCCCAAGGAAUUAAUGUUCGAAAGUAGGGAUCGGUAUUAGCCUUAUAAUAGAGAUCAAAGAAGUAGUGGGUCCGGUGGAAUUAUAUGCAAAGUUAAGGGAAAAGUAUUGAGGUCAGAACAACGAGAAAAUCAUGAUCAAGAACAGUUUCGAUCCUAUCGGGCCUAAUGAAGCACCGAGGUUAUUGAAAUAUAACUGUAAUAUUGACGUUGCCGCCAUUGUAUCAGCUAUCGGAUGCAUCAAUGACACCAAAUGGCCUUAACCCCUACAAUAUGAUCCUGCCCAAAGGGAUCCUAAUCAGAUGUGGAAAUAUCACGGCACUCAUGACCAUAAAAUAGAGGAUUGCCGACAAUUGAGAGAGGAAGUAGCCCGGCUAUACAACAAUGGACAUCUUCGAGAAUUCCUGAGCGACCGAGCCAAGAAUCAUUUCAAAACCGAGAUUCUAAUAAAUAGACCGAGCAAGAAGAACCUCAACAUUUCAUUAACAUGAUCACCGGUGGGGUCAAUAUUUCCCAAGAUCCGAUGCUAAAACGCACCAAAGUAUUCAUCAUAAGGGAAAAAUGGACUCGAGAUUACAUACUGGAAGGGGCUUGUCUAUCAAUAAGAAGGACGUAGAAGGGAUUGUGCAGCCACACAACGAUGUGCUAGUAAUAUCCUAACUCAUAAAUACAUCUAGAGUUAAGUGUGUGUUAAUUAGUCCAGGUAGCUCGGCCAACAUCAUCCGAUCAAGGGUCGUAGAACAGCUCGACCUACAAGAUCAAAUCGUGCCUGCAGUCCGAGGUCUAAAUGGAUUCAAUAUGGCAUGUGAGACCACUAAGGGAGAUAUAACAUUACCAUUAAAUGUCACCGGGACCAUAAGUCUUAUGUGAUCGAAGGAGACAUGAGGUACAAUGCCCUGUUCGGGAGGCUAAGGAUCCACAACAUGAAGGUAGUGCCCUCGACUCUUCACCAACUGUUAAAAUUCACAAUGCCAGGAGAGAUUAAAAAAUCUAAAAGAAGCAACUGGCCACAAAGGAAAUGUUUUCAGUCGAAGAAGUGAUUCUAAUAUCGACACUAGCAACGUCAAAGAAACCAAGCUCAGAUACAAAGAAAUUGGCUAAAUAGAAAUUAUCAACACCGGCCACGACCCAAUCGAAUAAGUCGGGGACUGAUGAAGACGAUGAUUGCGGGGUUCCCAAAUCUUUCAUAGCCCUUGACGAUUUCAAUGCCACUAAAUCAAUGGCUGAGGAGCUGGAAUAAGUCACAUUGAUUGAAUGUCUACCUGAUCGGAAUGUAUACCUAGGCACGGGGUUAACCCCUAAUCUAAGAAAAAAAUUCAUUAAAUUUCUAAUAGCUAACAAGAUUAUUUCACUUUUUCCCAUCUUGAUAUGAUAGGGAUACCACCAGAGAUUACCACAAACAAGGUAAGACUGGACCCAAAAUUUCACCCGGUCAAGCAGAAGAGGAGACCCCAGUCCGAGAUCAAACAUGCUUUCAUCAAGGACGAGGUAUCUAAACUUCUUAAACUAGUAUCCAUUCGGAAGGUAAAAUACUCAGAAUUGAUAGAAAAUAUAGUGGUAGUUCUUCAAAAGGGGAACAAAUUAAGAAUGUGUGUAGACUAUAAGGAUUUGAAUAAGGCAUGUCCCAAGGAAUAUUUCCCUUUGCUCAAAAUCGAUCACAUGAUCGAUGCCACAUCCGACCACGAGAUCCUCAGUUUUCCUGAUGCCUAUUCCAGGGUACAACCAAAUACGGAGGAACCCGGAUGAUCAAGAAUAAACCUCUUUCAUCACUAAGUACGGCACAUACUACUAUAAUGGCUGCCAUUCAAAUUAAAAAAUAUUGGUGAUACUUAUCAACGCCUAGUAAAUCGUAUGUUCAAAGAACAAAUAAUGAAAUCAAUGGAAGUUUACAUUACAGUUAUGCUGGUUAAGUCUCUACGUGCAGAGGACCAUUAAAGCAUUUUUGCAGUAAGCCUUCAACAUGUUGAAGAAAUACAAUAUGAACUAAACCCGAGGUAAUGUGUGUUUGGAGUCAGAUCAUGUAAAUUCCUCGGGUUCAUGGCAACCAGCUGAUAAAUCUAGAUCAAAACUGAUAAAAUCAAGUCCAUCAAGGAUAUCACGAUAGUGGACAACGUGAAGGUUGUGCAAAGGUUAACCGGGCACAUAAACACCCUAAGACAAUUAAUAUCGAGGUCUUCCGAUAAGAGCCACCGAUUUUUCUAGCUUGAAGAAAAAGAACAACUUUACAUGGACCCCAGAAUGUCAACGGGCCUUGGAGGAACUCAAACGAUAUCUCUCGAUCCCAUCGCUGCUUCACAUGCUAAAGAAAAAUGAACAACUAUACCUAUACUUUCCAGUAUCGGAGAUAGCAGUAAGUGGAAUCCUGGUCUGGGAAGAACAAGGUACAUAAUUUCAAGUUUACUAUGUUAACAGGACUCUAGGUGAGGCCGAAACUAAAUAUCCUCACCUAGAAAAACAAGCACUAGCCUUGCUAAGUUCCUAUAGGAAACUGAACCCAUAUUUUCAAUGACAUCCUAUAUGUGUUGUGACAAAUUACCCAUUGCUAAAUAUAAUGCAUAAACCCAAACUCUAGGGAUGAUUGGCCAAAUGUGCCAUGGAAAUCAGCGGGUACGAUAUUGAAUUUCGACCCCAGACAGCCAUUAAAUCUCAAAUUUUGGAAAAUAUCGUGGCCUACUCUUUGCCUGACCUAAUACCCGAUGUCGGAAGAGAGUUGUUGGUAAACUCGGGGAUGUCUUUGGGGAUAUGGACCCUUUUUACAGAUGGCACCUCGAACGCAAAAGGGUCCAAACUUGGCAUCAUAUUGAAGCCACCAACAAGCAAUGUAGUUCGACAAUGUAUUAGUACUAUGAAAUUGACUAACAACAAGGUCGAAUAUGAGGCCAUGAUUGUAGGUCCAGAACUAGUCAAAAGCUUGGGGGCAGAGGUGAUCGAAGCUAAGUGCGACACCCUCCUUGUGGUGAACUAAGUUAAUGGGACAUUCGAGGUCAGAGAAGAACGAAUGCAAAGGUACCUAGAUAAGUUGUAGGUAACAUUAAUUGAAGGAGUGAACUUUGCGACACGUACCUCGGGAUCAAAAUAGUAAGGCCGAUGACCUUGAAAACUUAGGAUCAUUGGUCGAGGAUGACGAGCUCAACUUGGGGGGCAGUCGUACUACUCAUGAGAUCGAUAGUGGAAGAAGGUAACGCCAAAAUAAACACUACAAGCUUGACAUGGGAUUGGAGAAACAAAUAUGUAGAAUAAUAUAAGAAUGGAAACUACCCUUGGACACAAAAGAAUCAAGGACCAUGCGUACAAAGGCAACCCGGUUUAGCUUGUCCAAAGAUGAAACCUUGUUCAGAAGAACGAUUGAUUGUCCACUAGCAAUAUGUCUAGGACAAGAAUAUAUCAAGUACAUUCUUAGAGAAUUUCACGAGGGCGCCUGCAAAAAUCAUUUAGACACCAAAUCAUUGGUUCGAAAGGUAAUCAUAUUCGGCUAUUACUGGAUAGAUAUGGAAAGGAAUGCAAAGGAGUUUGUAAAAAAAUAUGAUAAAUGUCAAAGACAUGCUCCAAUGAAACAUCAACUCGGAGAGCUGCUACAUUUGGUUUUGCCACCCUGGUGGUUCAAGAAGUAGGGAAUGGACUUCGUUGGCCCCAUUCUAUGGGCACCCGAUAUGGCUCAAUUCAUAUUGUUUAUGACUGACUGUUUUUCUAGUGGGCUGAAGCCCGGGCAUACGAGAAGGUCCGGGAGAAAGAAGUCAUUGACUUUAUUCGUGACCAUAUCAUUGUCAUGCCACAAACCUGUGGGGCGAGAUCGGCACCCGGUGCCUCACCAAUCCUUCUGUACCAACUUGCGACUAAGGGACUCAGAACAUAUAAUGUCAUAAUUUAGCCAUGGGACCACAUUGCAAGUCAAAUUGCGAAGCAAAAUAUAAAAUUGAAUGGGAACUAACGCUAACUAAACAUCAAUAUAAAGUUGUGCCGACAAGGACGUCAUAACUACUACAAUUGACAAACCAAAAAAAUAUACAUAAAAGGCCUACAAGCCCAACAUAUUGCACUAACAGACAUGAUAUGUCUACAAGACUCUACUAAUGGAUAUACUGGUGAUCGGAACAAAGCCCACAUACCCAUAACCUAUAUACAUAUAUACACAAGAUGUCAUAAAACACUAGACCUGACAACUCUGUAGGACGUGGAGCUUACCAACAAAGCUAAAUCGGGCAACACCUAAUGAGAAGGUCUACCCAUCUAUCUGUUUGAACCUACACGCAUUAAAUGCAGCGUCCUCAGAAAAAGGGACAUCAGUACGAAAUAAUGUACCCAAUAUGUAAGGCAAUAAAAUAUUUGAAAGCUAAAAUUUAACUGUAUAAUAACUGAAAGUAACUGGGAGUCAAAGAUGAUCUGGAGAUACACUUACCUAGUGAUAUUGACUCAACUUUCUCAAUAUAGAGAGUAAAAUAAAUGCCCACCCCUAUAAGGCUCGGAACGUGUAACUGCUUUGGAGUAGUGGCCUCGCUCAUAGGUGCUCGGCCAUACUAGGCUCUAUAUCUCGGCCAUUUUAGGCUCGCUCAUAGGCGCUCGACCAUAGUAGGCUCGGUGUAUAACUUACCAUCUAAUUCGAGGCUGCCCAAUAGGGGCUUGUCCAUCGAUUAUAGCCCGAUGGUGGUCAAAAUACGAUAAUACUAUAUAUAUAUAUAUAUAUAUANNNNNNNNNNNNNNNNNNNNNNNNNNNNNNNNNNNNNNNNNNNNNNNNNNNNNNNNNNNNNNNNNNNNNNNNNNNNNNNNNNNNNNNNNNNNNNNNNNNNNNNNNNNNNNNNNNNNNNNNNNNNNNNNNNNNNNNNNNNNNNNNNNNNNNNNNNNNNNNNNNNNNNNNNNNNNNNNNNNNNNNNNNNNNNNNNNNNNNNNNNNNNNNNNNNNNNNNNNNNNNNNNNNNNNNNNNNNNNNNNNNNNNNNNNNNNNNNNNNNNNNNNNNNNNNNNNNNNNNNNNNNNNNNNNNNNNNNNNNNNNNNNNNNNNNNNNNNNNNNNNNNNNNNNNNNNNNNNNNNNNNNNNNNNNNNNNNNNNNNNNNNNNNNNNNNNNNNNNNNNNNNNNNNNNNNNNNNNNNNNNNNNNNNNNNNNNNNNNNNNNNNNGAUAAUACUAUAUAUAUAUAUAUAUAUAUAUAUAUAUAUAUAUAUAUAUGUGUGUGUGUGUGUAUAUGUGUGUGUGUGUGUGUGUGUAUAGAUAUAUACACCCUCUGCCCUUUUGACUAGAAGAAGACAAUAUUUAGCUGAACAAAAAGUUUUUAUAAAGGAAAAUACAGUAAUUUAUGAGACUAGGAUAAUGUACAUAAGUUCAGCAAUACGAACUUCUUUUAAUGCCUCGUUAUCAAACUCAUAUAGUUACGAGAUCAUGCCAAAAUAAUGGCUUAGCCUUAAUAUAACUGAGCCAAUUCUCUUGACAAUCCCUCUAACAUACAUAAAUUACAACUAACGGCAGAUCGAAGUAGGAGAAAAUCCAUAUGAUAUUAUUGAGAAAUAUUGCAAAUCGUACUCCCUUAGAAUCGCAAGCCCCACAUUGCUAUAAUGUUAAGUAGUCGUCGUAUGAAAUUCUCGAAGCAAUAACGUCGCUUAUUGCAAAAUCAUCUUUGAUAAAACUCUUUUUAAUACUGAAGUGUAGGUAUCUCAGAAUGUGUAUCUCUAACUCACACAAUAUGAUAAUUGCACCAUUUUCAGAUCAUUUUCCUCGCCUUAAGAUUGGAAAUAAUCCUACCUCUAGGUUUCACUGUAUUACAUACCCAUUCAAGGACUGGCUCACCCUGGAAAAUAAAAUCUGGCUGUCUUUACUUGACACUUAACUGUGGCAUAGAAAGCUACCAACCAGUCCAUGCCCAUGAUAACAUCAAAAUCCAAUAUCUCUAGCUCAACUAGGUCGGCUAAGCUCUGACGACUACAAAUUGUCACCGUACAACCUUGGUAAACCCGUCUAGUAAUAAUCAGUUCUCCAAUAGGUGUAGAUACCGCAAAAGGAUAACUUAGUAUUUCAGGAAUUAUACCAAAUUUCCCCGCUCCAAAUAGGAUAAUACACGAUAAAGUAGAUCAUAGGUCUACAAAGGCAUAAGCAUCGUGAGAGAAAAUGGUCCAACAUACAUGUUAAAACAUCUGGUGAAAACUCUGGGUCCUAUCGGCCCGCUAAAGCGUAGCUACGAUUUUGCUUACCAUCUGUACUGGAACGUCUACCUCUUCCUUGACCUCUACCAGCCGAAGACUGAGACUCGCACCCUGAAGGAUGCACGGACAUAGAUAAUCAUGUUGCUGAACUCGCUGGUUGUGACAUACCCCCAGAAACUCUAUGUGGGAAAUCUCGCAUCAUAUGCCCUAGAUGCCCAUGUGUAUAAUAAUUAUCAUAACCGGAUCGAUAUUAACCCAAGCUUCCUCUACUGUAGAUGUCACAUCAUGAUAGAAAUUACCAUGUCUUCCCUGAACCUUGUUCUCGCUACAAACCAGACGCCUGUGAGCUCUCACCUGGUCUAGACUGAGCAUAACGGUCAUACCUGUAACCUUGUAACGGAGGUAGUGGAGGCCUAGGUGGUCGUCCAAAGUAUUUGGUACUAUAACUACCCUAAGACUGCUCUUGAGACUAGGCAAAUCUCAUCCUCUUAUGCUUCCCUGACUCGGUCCUCUUUGUUCCCUACUACUUAUGCCUACUUAUUUCUACAUUUUGGGCGAAUGCCUGAAUACGGGAGAUAUCUAUACUAUCCAUCAAUGCAGCGGUGGCACAUGCCUCGGUCAACUCUAGAGCCAUCCCUGCAACAAACCUGUGGAUCAUGUCAUGUAUAGUAGAAACAAUGGAUGGUGCAUAUCUGGCCAAUGAGUCAAAACGGAGAAUAUUCUCUCAAACACUCAUAUUGCCUUUCUUGAGGGUUGGGAACGGAUCAACUCGAGCCUGUCGAGUCUCCCUCAAGUAAGUAUUGAUCAAGCAAGGCAUCCGAAAAUUUUUCCCAAAAAGAUAGAGGAACAUCACAUCCCCUGGACCUCUCCCACCCCUCAUGCCAAAAAAAUGGCUAUAUCUCGGAGUCGAAAAGCGGCUAGCUCAAUUGUCUCUUUCUUCAUGGCAUGCAUAAUCUGCAAGAUCAUGUGAAGUUGAUCUAUGAAAUCCUAUGAGUCCUCCCUCUGAUCUGUCCCCAUGAACUCUGGGGGACUUAAAGCAAUAAACUCUCGGACCCUUGAAAUAUUAGACCGCUCAGAAUAUCCUGCACUACCAGAUGCCUUAUCGUGUUGCUGGGUAGCUACCAACGGUGUCAACAAAUGCACCUCACUCCUCAAGUCUUGAUCUGAUGGAAGCGGGGGGAACUAGAUGUGCGGUCUCCCUAGGCAUAUCCUCAGGUGGUGGAGGAGCCGGUGGGUGUCUUCUUGGGUGUCAGAUUAAGCACCAAAUACUAGAGGUACCCUGGUUGUCCCCUCUCCUACUAUUGUAUCUCUCCUAUGGUUAGCCGUAGUCUUCCUAGUUACUAUCAUUUGUGCAUGCAAAUGCCAACAUGUAAGUUUAAUUCAUAUUUCCUAUUACUCAGUUCUACAACACGAUUUAGAUUUGAAAAAAAGUUAACCAACUCCUAAAUACCCUGUAGUCCCCUGCUUGUAUAAUGUGGUGCACAACACAUCUAUAAAUAAGACCGUACUAGACACGACUUGUAGACUCCCUAGAACAUAACUGCUUUGAUACCAAGUUUGUCACACCUUGAACCUAGGGGGGAUACCGGCACCCGGUGCCUCACCUAUCCUUACGUACCAACUUGUGACUAAAGAACUCAGAACAUAUAAUGUCAUACUUUGCCAAUGGGGCCACAUUGAAAGACAAUCUCUAAAGCAAAAUAUAAAACUGAUUGGGAAGUAACGCUGACUAAAUAUCAAUAUAAAUCUGGGCCGACAAGACCGUCAAACUAUUACAGCUGACAAACUAACAAAAUAUGCAUACAAGGCCUACAAUCCCAACAUACUACACUAACUGACAUGAUAUUUCUACAAGCCUCUAUUGAUGGAUUUACUGUGAUUGGAACAAGGCACCGGCGUACCUACAACCUAUAUAUAUACAAAAGAUGCACACAAAACUCUAGACCCGGCAACUCCAAAGGAUAUGGAGCUUACCGAUAAAGCUGAACUCGAGCAAAACCUACUGAGGAGGUCUACCCGUCUGUCUUUAUGAACCUGCACGCAUGAAAUGCAGCGUCCCCAGAAAAAGAGACGUCAGUACAAAAUAAUGUACCGAAACUGAAAGCUAAAACUUAACUGAUAACAUAAUAACUAAAAGUAACUGGGAGUCAAAGAUGGUCUGGAGAUACAUUUACCUGGUGAUACUGGCUCAACUUUCUCAAUAUAGUAAGUAAAAUAAAUAUCCAGCCCUAUAAGGCUCGAAACGUGUAACUACUCUGUCGUAGUAGGCUCGCUCAUAGGUGAUCAUCCAUACUAGGCUCUAUAUCUCGGCUAUUCUGGUCUUUCUUAUAGGUGCUUGGUCACAGUAGGCUCGGUAUAUAUCUUAUCAUCUGAUCAAAAGUUGCUCAAUAGGGGCCUGCCCAUCGAUUAUAGCACGAUGGGAGAAAAGAUACUGUAAUAAUGUGUGUGUGUGUGUGUGUGUGUGUGUGUGUAUAUAUACCCCAUGCUCUCUUGACUGGAUGAAGAUAAUAUUUAACUGAAUAUAAAGUCCUGAUAAGGGAAAAUACUGUAAUUUAUGAGACUAAGAUAAUGUACAUAAGUUCAAGAAUAUGAACUUCUUUUUAUGCCUCGUUAUCCAACUCAUAUAGUUAUUACAUCAUUCCAAGAUAAAGGAAGGACUUAUCCUUAACAUACCUAAGUCGAUUUUCUUGACAAUUCCUCUAACACACGCCAAUUGCGACAACACAUAAUGGCAUAUCAAAGUAGGGGAAAUCCGUAUAUCAAGUAGUCUCUGUAUAAAAUUCUUGAAGCAAUAACAUUGAUUAUGGGAAAAUCAUCUUUGAUGAAACUCUUUCUUAUGAGAUGUAACAUUGCUAUUCAAUGAAUAUUUGCUGAAACUCUUUCCUCAACAAUUGAUUUUGAACUAGAAAUGCUACUUUUAUCCUUUAGGUGGGCCCUACUUAGGAUGACUAACCUUUCCUAAAGGCUUCUAAUUUGGUCACCUAAAUGUAAUGAAUCUUACUCAUUACUUGGGGCUGCCACGUUGGGUUCCUUGGUCUUAUCCAAGGUUGUUAAUUAAUUACCCACUAAUUUUAAUUAAGUUGUUAAUUCUCCCAUUAAUCAAUAAUGCACAUAUUUAAGAGUUAUCUCAAAUUACUUAAAUACCACUCAUUUUUAACACACUUUAUACAUCUUUACUAUCAUGGUCAUGUGGUACCUUGUAUGAUACUAGUCCAUAAAUAUGGGGUAUUAUUGCUUGAACCAAAUUGUAUGUUCCCGUAAAUAAUUUUGUCUCAAAACUUAGUAAACAGUGGAGUCUACUCUGAUUAUGUGUUAUGAAUUUUGCUCGCCGCGGUUUGGACCCUUGGUAGUGAUUUAAUCCUUUAAAAUUUAAAAGAAUUAACUAUUCCAGAAAAGUGUCAAAAUGCGGUCCAGAAUGCGGUCGCAGAUCAGCUAUGCGGACUGCAUUCCUACCGCAGAAUGAAUCAGAGAGCAACAAAUUUUGAUGUUGAAAAUGCGGUCAAAUCUGCGAUCGCAUAAUCAAUAUGCGGACCGCAGAGUAAUCGCAUACUAUCCCUGAAGAAAUUCAAAGGUCAGUUCUCCGGUGAAUUCUGCGACCGCAGAACGCAAAUGCGGACUGCAUAGUCACCGCAUUCCCAAUGCGAGAGGUUUGAAACUUGAGCCAUUUCUGCGGACCGCAUGUCAGUUCUGCAAUCGCAGAUAGGCAUCGCAGAUCGUGUUGGCUCAGUUAUUUUCUAAAAUUUUAAGCUCGACCCCUCUUUUAAUAAAACACCCCAUCUCUCAUUUUUAACCCAUUUUCUGAACAAAAUAAGAUAGAGGAAGAGUUGUUUCUAGAGAGAGAAAGCUAUUUAUUCAUCAAUUGAUCUUUCAAAAAUCAUCAAAUCCCGGUAAAUCUUGAGCAUAUGCCUUCCCCUUUGAUUUCAAGGUAAAAUCCCUAACCCUUUUCCCUUAAUUUUCGAACUCAAGUUUGGGGAGGGAGUUUCAUACUUUGAUUUUGAAAAUUCUUGUUAGAAAAUCCAUAUGCAUGUCUUCAAAACCCAAAAAUCAUGUAAAAAGGGAACUGGGUAGUAAAUUAUGAAUUCUCAUUCUAAAGGUAUAUGUAUUAUUCAUGAACUAGAUUGAUCCUUCAUGAUUGCUUGAUGAAUUGGAGUAGAGAAUAUUCAAUUCCGGGUAUGUAUGGCUAACUGUGAUCCUCGUGAUAUCGCCUAUGCUGGUUGUGAAAUUGUUGAUAGUUGAUAUUCAUCUGAAAACCAUUGUGAAGCUUUCGUGUUGUACAAAUUGUGUGGUAGUACCUUGUGGUGAAUGUUGUGGAACUUUUAAUUGGAACAACAGAAACGGAAAUAAUGUGGAAUAGCGGGAAUGGAAAUAAUGUGGAACAGUGGAAAUAAAAAUAUUGUGGAACAACACGUGUUAUUAAUUACGAGUAGUUGUAGAAACGGAAACAAUGUGGAACAAUGAAAAAAUGGAAACAAUGUGGAAUAAUGGAAAUGAAAAUAAUGUGAAACAUUUGAAAUGAAAAUAUUGUGGAAUAAUGUGUGGUUAGUUGUGAAAAAUUAUUGUGAUAAUCUAAAUUGUGUAUCAACUUUGAUGAAUAUGAGGAAAAUUGUUGUUGCUAGUUGUGGGAUGUUAAUACCCUUGUUGUGGAAUUAUUUUAACAAAGUGUCAUGGUUGAACNNNNNNNNNNNNNNNNNNNNNNNNNNNNNNNNNNNNNNNNNNNNNNNNNNNNNNNNNNNUAAAUGUCAAAAUGUGAAAGGAGACAGCAUGAGAGUUUGUAACCUGUGGGGCACUGAUUGCCCCUUUGUAUGACUACAUGAAUAACUGUUGUGAAAUGUUUGGUUGUUUCUUCCUGGUUGUACUUGUACUAUUGUUGUUCAGUUCUAUACUUUUUCAUGCAAUUUGGCUUGAGUUUACUUGGGACAGAGUUAGUUCAUACAUGGCAGUACAAUUCAAGUGUACUGACGUCCCUUUUGCCGGGGGCGCUACAUCGUGUUAUGAUUGUAGGUAGAUCCGUGGCAGGCACUCCAAUCCACCGAUUGUAGCUCCUCCUCCUCCUCUCUAUCGGCAGUAUUCAUGUUUGGUGAGCCCCUUUCCUUCUGCGGACAUGUGUGGCCUACGCCACUCAUGUUGUUGUAUGUUGGAGUUUGUAUCUUUUGGUAAAGGUAUAGCUGGGGCCUUGUCACCAGCAAGUGUUGUACUACCAUUCUCGUAGAGGCUCCGUAGACACUGGUAUGUGGGUCAGGACUUAUGUAUAAAAGUGUAUGUUUGGGCGUUGUAAACUUGUGUACCAAUUCUCGUAGAGGCUCAGUAGAUAGUGGUAUGUGGGUAUGGACUUCUGUAUAAAGGUGUAUGUUUGGGUGCUGUAAACUUGUGUACCACGUUCCUUGCUAAUCAAAUAUAUGCUUUGUAAAAGGUGUCCCCUGUUAAUCAUAAUGUGUGGUUAUAAAAGAGAAAUCUGACUUUCUUUUAAUUGAAAUAUGGUAUCUUUUGGUUAACUAUCACUGAAUAAUGUGGAGUAACGCGUGGGGAAUAGGAAAGGCACCCAGGUCCACUCGACUGGGGAUACCCGGUUGAGUGACGGUCAUGCCCACAUAUUUGGGGCGUGAAAAACUUGGUAUCAGAGCCAUAGGUUUUGAAGGAGUCCUAGGAUGUCUCGGAGCCAUACCUAGUAGAGCCCUUCUUAUUGGUGUAUUGUCGACCACAUCUAUAAGUUGGGGGCUACACGGGAAUUUAGGAAAAACUAUCCUCUUCUUUGAUAAUCAAGUUCAUGCGGUGAAAUGAUCUUAUGUCGAAUUCUUGCUCUAUUUCAAAUUUUCAGUUAUGGAACCUAAGAAGAAAGCUAGACUUGGUCUAGGGCCAAUGCCUCUUCUAGUGCGGCUGUGGAUCAUGUGCCGACUGCCGUGGGGGAGAAUGAUCNNNNNNNNNNNNNNNNNNNNNNNNNNNNNNNNNNNNNNNNNNNNNNNNNNNNNNNNNNNNNNNNNNNNNNNNNNNNNNNNNNNNNNNNNNNNNNNNNNNNNNNNNNNNNNNNNNACAGACAUAGAGGCCGAUCCGCAAGAAUUCCUUGAUGAUAUGUACAAGACCCUUCGGGUAAUGAAAGCUACAGAGAUAGAAGGGGUAGAAUUGGCUUUGUACAGGUUGAAGGGAGCUGCGCGUUCAUGGUUUGAUAUGUGGGAGGAUUCCCGUGAGGAGGGGAGCCCUCUAGCUAGAUGGGAUGAGUUUGUAGAUGCCUUCAUGGACCACUUCAUGCCUGCCGAGACCAUGGCAGCCCGUGCCACUGAGUUUGAAGUUCUUAAGCAGGGUAGCAUGAGUGCUUGGGAAUAUCAUAUGGAGUUCGUGAGGUUUUCCAAGUAUGCUCCUCAGUUGGUAUUGACAAUAGAGGCCAGAGUUUGGCGAUUCGUUUAGGGUCUCAGCCCUUCGGUGGUAAAUGAAGCUGCAACAGCGGCUUUGCAUUUAGACAUGAAUUAUGGAAAGAUCGUGGGUUUUUCUUGGGCCACAGAGGCCAUAAAUUUGAAGAUUCGGGCUGAGAGGGAGAGUAGCAGCAGGGCCCGGUCUAUGGGUCACUCAGGGAGGUCAGCUCUAGGGAGAGAGUUAUCAGGACCGUCUCAGUCUUAUGAUCAGUCCUCAAUUAGUGCACCGCCAUCCAUGCACCGUUCCCAGCAGAGUGGCCCUUCGAGGACAAGUUCAGGCAUCAGGAGGACCUGCCAGUUCAGUCAUUCGUGGAUGAGACCUUGACAGCAGGGGGUAUAUGCCCCAAGUGUGGGAGAUUUCAUACAUAGGCUUGUUACUUGGAUGCUCCAGUGUGCUACAAUUGUGCAGUUAGAGGUCAUAUGCAGCGAGAUGUGCACCCAGGCAGGGAGCGGGUGGGGGCCAUGCUCAGCCCUCCAGUUCAUCAGUUGCUACAUCAUCACUGCGCCCUCCAGCCCCAGCAGGGCGUGGUGCAGCUAGAGGUGGAGCUCGUGGUAGGGGAGGACCCAGCAGGUUUUAUGCAUUGAGUGGCCGUCAGAGUGCCGAGGCUUCCCAGAUUUUUUCUCAGGUAUCUUAUCUGUUCAGACAGUUGAUUGCUAUGCUCUUAUUGAUCCGGGAACUUCUUUGUCCUAUGUCACUCCAUUUGUUGCUUCGAGUUUUGGGAUUGAACCUGAACAACUUCUUUAGCCGUUCUCUGUAUCGACUCUGGAGGGCGAUUCCAUUACAGCAUUCUUUUUCCUAUGUCACGCCAUUUACUGCUUCGAGUUUUGGGAUUGAACCCCGAACAGCUUCUUGAGUCAUUCUCUCUAUCGACUCCAUUAGGCGAUUCCAUUACAUCCACGCGAGUCUAUAUGAAUUGUGUUGUUAUGGUAUGUAGUCGUGUUACCACGGCCGACCUUAUUGAGGAUGGGAUGGUGGAUUUUGAUGUAAUCAUGGGGAUGGAUUGGCUCUAUUUGUGCUUCGCUAAGCUUGAUUGCUGGACGAGAGUCAUGAGACUCGAGUUCCCUAAUUAUCCGGUUGUUGAAUGGAAGGGAAAUGGUGUUGUGACGAGGGGUAAAUUUAUUUCCUACCUCAAGGCUUCGAAGAUGAUCAGAAAAGGGUGUAUUUAUCAGUUAGUCCGGGUGGCAGACAUUACUCCAGAGGUGCCUUCCCCCGAGUUAGUGCCAGCUGUGAAAGAGUUCCUUGAGGUAUUUCCAGAAGAGCUUCCAAGCAUCCCGCCAGAUAGGGAGAUCGAUUUCGGGAUUGAUGUAUUUCCAAAUACCUAGCCAAUAUCUAUUCCACCAUAUAGAAUGGCACCGGCAGAGUUGCGGGAUUUAAAAGAGCAGUUGAAGGAUCUAUUGGAGAAGGGGUUUAUCCGGCCAACUGUGUCUCCGUGGGGUGCUCCGGUUCUUUUUGUCAGAAAGAAGGAUGGGUCGCUUCGGAUGUGUAUUGAUUAUCGGCAGCUUAAUAAAGUCACCAUCAAGAAUAAGUACCCUUUGCCUCGGAUGGAUGACUUUUUCGAUCAAUUGCAAGGUGCAAGGUUCUUCUCAAAAAUUGAUUUGAGGUCCGGGUACAACCAAUUGAAGAUCAAGGAGCAGGAUAUUCCUAUGACUGCCUUCAUAACUCGUUAUGGCCACUUUGAAUUUUUGGUCAUGUCUUUUAGGCUAACCAAUGGCCCGACGACUUUUAUGGAUCUUAUGAAUCGGGUCUUCAAGUCAUUCUUAGACUCCUUCAUGAUUAUGUUCAUUGAUGAAAUCCUCGUAUAUUCGCGAAGCAGGGAGGAUCAUGCCAAUCACCUCAGAGCGGUUUUGCAGACUUCUCGUGUAUUUGUGGAGCAGGGAGGAUCAUGCUAAUCACCUCAGAACAGUUUUGCAGACUUUUCAUCGGCACCAAUUGUAUGCCAAGUUUUCCAAAUGUGAAUUUUGGUUGGAGUCCGUCGCUUUUCUGGGUCAUGUUGUUUCCAGUGAGGGGGAUCAGGUGGACCCCCAUAAGAUUGCGGCGGUGAACGAUUGGCCUAGACCCAUGACCCCAGUGGAGACCCGUAGCUGUUUGGGGUUAGUAGAGUAUCAUCGGAGGUUUGUAGAGGAUUCUCCACCCUCGUCUCCCUAUUGACCAAAUUGACGCAGAAAUCAGCCAAGUUCCAGUCGUUAGAUGCUUGUGAGAAAAGUUUUCAAGAACUGAAGACAAGGUUGACUUCGGCACCAGAGUUGGCUUUGCCAGAGGGAACUGAGGGAUUUGUGGUUUAUUGUGAUGCCUCCAGGGUUGGUUUAGGGUGUGUUCUGAUGCAGCACGGAAAGGUCAUAGCAUAUGCUUCCAGGCAACUCAAGAAUCAUGAUAAGAGUUAUCCGACGCAUGAUUUGGAGCUUGCGGCAGUUGUGUUUGCCUUGAAAAUAUGGCGGCAAUAUCUUUAUGGAGUUCAUGUUAAUGUGUUUUCAGAUCACCAGAGUCUCCAGUAUUUGUUCAAGAAGAAGGAGCUAAAUUUAAGGCAACGGUGGUUGUUCGAAUUGCUUAAGCAUUAUGAUAUGGACAUCUUGUACCACGUAUUUGUUCAAGCAGAAGGAGCUAAAUUUGAGGCAAUGGCGGUGGCUCGAAUUGCUAAAGGAUUAUGAUAUAGACAUCUUGUACCAUCCAGGGAAAGAGAACGUGGUGGCCGAUGCCAUCAGUCGAAAAUCCAUGGGUAGUUUGGCUCACUUGAGGGCGGAUCAGAGGCUCCUAGCUCGAGAGAUACAUAAGUUUGCCAGCCUUGGGAUUUGUAUCUCGGUCCCGAAUGAAGAGGAACUUAUGGUGCAUACUACAGCGAAAUCGUCACUCAUGGUAGAGGUUAAAGAAAAACAGUUUGUUGAUCCAACAUUGGCACAAUUGAAAUAGGCAUAAGAGAACGUGGUGGCCGAUGCCAUCAGUCGAAAAUCCAUGGGUAGUUUGGCUCACUUGAGGGCGGAUCAGAGGCUCCUAGCUCGAGAGAUACAUCAGUUGGACAGCCUUGGGGUUUGUAUCUCGGUCCCGAAUGAGGAGGAACUUACGGUGCAUAAUACAGCGGAAUCGUCACUCGUGGCAGAGGUUAAAGAAAAGCAGUUUGUUGAUCCACCAUUGGCACAGUUGAAGGAGGAAGUUCAAAGCAACAAAAUUUUUUGCAUUUUCGCUCGGCAGCGAUGAUGGUGUGCUACGGUACCAUGACAGGCUGUGUGUCCCAUAUGUGGAUAAUCUUCGGGAGAGAAUAAUGGCAGAGGCUCAUCAUUCCAGGUAUUCAAUGCACCCGCGCUCUACGAAGAUGUAUCACGGUCUCAAGGAUACCUAUUGGUGGAGUGAUAUGAGGAAGAGUGUACAAGACUUCGUCUCUAAGUGUCCGAAUUUCCGGCAAGUGGAGGCCGAGCAUCAGCGGCCGGGAGGGUUGACUCAGCUUAUAGAAAUACCAAUGUGGAAAUGGGNNNNNNNNNNNNNNNNNNNNNNNNNNNNNNNNNNNNNNNNNNNNNNNNNNNNNNNNNNNNNNNNNNNNNNNNNNNNNNNNNNNNNNNNNNNNNNNNNNNNNNNNNNNNNNGGAAAUGAUCAAUAUGGACUUUGUGACAGGACUACCUCGUACUCAGCACAAGUUCGACUCAAUUUGGGUAAUUGUGGAUAGGCUCACCAAAUCAUCUCACUUCUUGUCAGUCAAGUCCACCGAUACUGCGGAACAAUAUGCGCGAUUGUAUAUCAAGGAGAUAGUGAGGCUUCAUGGUACGCCACUUUCUAUCAUUUCGGAUCGAUCUUAUAGAGUUUGCUUAUAACAACAGCUUCCAUGCUAGCAUCAGAUGGCCCCGUUUGAAGCAUUGUACGGAAGAAGGUGUAGGUCCCCGAUUGGGUGGUUCGAAUUUGGCGAAACGGAAUUAAAAGGGUAAGAUCCCGUGCAUCAGGCCAUGGAGAAGGUAAGAGUCAUUCGAGAAAGGAUGAAGACUACUCAAAGUCGCCAGAAAUCCUAUGCGGAUGUGUGUCGGAGAGAGUUGAAGUUUCAAGAAGGAGAUUGGGUAUUCUUGAGUGUUUCCCCAAUGAAAGGAGUCAUGCGCUUUGCGAAGAGAGGAAAACUAAUUCCUAGGUACGUCGGUCCUUAUCAAGUCCGUCAAGAUUGGUCAAGUUGCGUAUAGGUUGGAAUUGCCCCCUGAAAUAUCCCUAGUGCACCCAGUGUUCCAUGUAUCCAUGUUAAGGAAAGUUGCGGGUGAUUCGUCUAAGAUCGUGCCAGUUGAAGACAUCAAGGUUACAGAGAGUUGUCGUAUGAAGAGAUUCCGGUUGCUAUUUUGGAUAGGCAAUUCCAAAAUUUGCGGGACAAGGAGAUUGCUUUAGUCAAAGUGUUGUGCCGAAACCGACAAGUCGAGGAAGCCACGUGGGAAGGAGAAGAUGAGAUGAAGAUGAAAUACCCCCAUCUAUUUGAAUAAGCUAGGAAUAAUCGUGCGAAUCUUGUCCCUAGGGAAGCUAGUUUUGUGUUCCAUUAGGUGUAAGAGUCAUCCGUUCUCUUUCCAAGUGCUUUAUUAUGGUAGUUCUCCAAGUCGUGCUAACAAAAUUUAUGUGAUGUGAUUAUUUGGACAAUGUGAAGUCCUUUUUGGUAAUGACGGUUUUGUGCUCUCAUGAUAAGGUGAUGUAAGAGGCAAUGAUUAAUUUUGCAUGGAUAGAGAGNNNNNNNNNNNNNNNNNNNNNNNNNNNNNNNNNNNNNNNNNNNNNNNNNNNNNNNNNNNNNNNNNNNNNNNNNNNNNNNNNNNNNNNNNNNNNNNNNNNNNNNNNNNNNNNNNNNNNNNNNNNNNNNNNNNNNNNNNNNNNNNNNNNNNNNNNNNNNNNNNNNNNNNNNNNNNNNNNNNUUAAUUUGAUUCCAUGUAGUGUGCCAAAAUGGCUAGAAGUGUGUCGAGGGGUUGAAUAUGUGCAAGUAUGAGAAUUUUGCAUUUUAUAACUGUUGUAAAGCUAGCAAGUCGUGUAAUGGUUCUUAGGAACGUAUUUUGGGGAUUCUCUGACAGGUGGUUAUGUCCAUAUACAAAGGAAACUCUGGAAAAAUUUUUCUAAAACAAACUUGAAAGUUAAUAAAAGGUGUAGAAACUUGCAUAUCAUGUUUUUCAACUCGUUAAUUUCCAAUGUUCUUAUUCGAGGACGAAUGAUCAUAAGCGGGGGAGAAUGUAAGGUCCCGUAAAUAAUUUUGUCUCAGAGCUUAGUAAACUCUGGUGUCUACUCUGGUUCGGACCCUUGGUAGUGAUUUAAGCCUUUAAAAAUUGAAAGAAUUAACUUUUCCAAAAAAGUGUCAAAAUGCGGUCCAGAAUGCAGUCGCAGAUUAGCUAUGCGGACUGCAUUCCUACCGCAGAAUGAAUCAGAGAGCAACCAAAUUUUGAUGUUGAAAAUGUGGUCAAAUCUGCGAUCGCAUAAUCAAUAUAAGGACCGUAGAGUUGAUCGCAUAUUGUCCCUGAAGAAAUUCAAAGGUCAGUUCUGCGGUGCAUUCUGCGACCGCAGAACGCAAAUGUGGAUCGCAUAGUCACCGCAUUCCCAACCCGAGAGGUUUGAAACUUGAGCUAUUUCUGGAGUCCAUUCAGCGGACCGCAUGUCAGUUCUGCGAUCGCAGAUAGGCGUCGCAGAUCGUGUUCGCUCAGUUAUUUUCUAAAACUCUAAGCUCGACCCCUCUUUUAAUAAAACACCCCAUCUCUCAUUUUAACCCAUUUUCUGAACAAAAUAAGAGAGUGGAAGAGAGGGUUCUAGAGAGAGAAAGCUAUUUCUUCAUCAAUUGAUCUUUCAAAAAUCAUCAAAGCCUGGAAAAUAUUGAGCAUCUGCCUUUCCCUCUUAUUUCAAGGUAAAAUCCUUAACCAUUUUCCCCUAAUUUUCGAACUCAGGUUUGGGGAGGGAGUUUUAUACUUUGAUUUUGAAAAUUCUUGUUAGAAAAUCCACAUGCAUGUCUUCAAAAUCCAAAAAUCUUGUAAAAAGGGAACUGGGUAGUAAAUUGUGAAUUCCUAUUCUAAAGGUCUAUGUAUUAAUNNNNNNNNNNNNNNNNNNNNNNNNNNNNNNNNNNNNNNNNNNNNNNNNNNNNNNNNNNNNNNNNNNNNNNNNNNNNNNNNNNNNNNNNNNNNNNNNNNNNNNNNNNNNNNNNNNNNNNNAAAUGGAAACAAUGUGGAAUAAUGGAAAUGGAAACAAUGUGGAACACUUGAAAUGGAAAUAUUGUGGAAUAAUGUGUGUGGUUAGUUGUGAAAAACUAUUGUGAUGAUCUAAAUUGUGUAUCAACUUUGAUGGACAUGAGGAAAAUUUUUGUUGCUAGUUGUGGGAUGUUAUACCCUUGUUGUGGAAUUAUUUAACAAAGUGCCAUGGUUGAUUUCUUGUACUUGUUGUUGUGUUGUUUGUUGUUGUGAAUUGAAAACUGUCAGGCGGGAUCGGGUUGUGCGCCGUAACACGGUGAAAUAAGGUGUGGGUUAGGGUGAUAAGGUGGCCGAGGUAAUAAGGGUGGACGAGGCAAUAAGGGUGGAAAUGUGAUCCAAUAUCACUUGGCCAAGGUAAUAAGGGUGGAUGAGGCAAUAAGGGUGAAAAUGUGAUCCAAUAUCACUAUUGAUAUGAAUAUGAAUCAUGAAAUGAUAAAUGUGAAGAUACGAAAGGAGACAGCUGAGAGAUUGUAACCUGUGGGGCACUGGUUGCCCCUUUGUAUGACUACGUGAAUAGUUAUUGUGAAAUAUUUGGUUGUUGCUUCCUGGUUGUACUUGUACUAUUGUUGUUCAGUUCUACACUUGUUCAUGCAAUUUGGCUUGAGUUUACUUGGGACAGAGUUAGUUCAUACAUGCCAGUACAAUUCAAGUGUCCUGACGUCCCUUUGCCAGGGGCGCUACAUUUGUGUUAUGAUUGUAGGUGGAUCUGUGGCAGGUACUCCAGUCCACCGUUUGUAGCUCCUCUUCCUCCUCUCUAUCAGCAGUAUUUGUGUUUGAUGAGCCUGGCCUACGCCACUCCUGUUGUUGUAUUUUGGAGUUUGUAUCUUUUGGUAAAGAAAUAGCCAGGGUUUUGUCACCGGCAAGUGUUGUACUACCAUUCUCGUAGAGGCUCCGUAGACAGUGGUAUGUGGGUGAGGACUUAUGUAUAAAAGUAUUUGUUGGGCGCUAUAAACUUGUUUACCACGUUCCUUGCUAAUCAAAUAUAUGUUUUGUAAAAGGUGUCCCCUGUUAAUCAUAAUGUGUUGUUAUAAAAGAGAAAUCCUACGUUCUUUUAAUUGAAAUUUGGUAUCUUUUGGUUAACUAUGAUUGAAUAAUGUAGGGCAACAUGUGGGGAAAAGGAAAGGCAACCAGGUCCACUCAACUGGGGAUACCAAAUUGAGUGCCGGUCAUGCCCACGGAUUUCUAGCGUGACAUCGGACUACACGUCACAGCAGUCCAGGUCCACUCGACUGGGGAUAUCCGGUUGAGUGCCGGUCAUGCCGACGGAUUUGGGGCGUGACACAUAUUUUAUCCCAAAUUGCCAAAACUUCAAAGAAACUCAUUUUCUUCGAUUUGCUUACCCUCUCUCCUUCACGAAUUUACUUAUCACGUGUUUGAAAUAGCAUAAUGCUUAUAAUCGUAAAAUAACCUCAUUCUCGAACUUAUGUUGAUUGACUUACAACAAAACUUUAACAUACAAAAAUGCGAGAUGUAACAAUUAUAUGUCGGUUCGGAAUGCCAUCUAAAAUCGUGUGGUACAACGAGAAAUAAUUUAUCAGCAGCAAAGUGACGAAAUUUCUCAAUGACCAUAAGAUCAAAAUGAUCUUAUCAACACCUUAUCACCCUAGUGGGAAUGGAAAAGCAUAAUCAACCAACAAAACCAUACUCCAAAACCUCAAAAAGAGGUUAAUCGAUGCCAAAGGAAAAUGAAAGGAAAUCUUACCCGAAGUCCUAUGGGCAUAUCGUACGACCUCGAAGUCUAGUACUAGGGCUACCCCGUUCUCGCUAGUUUUUGAUGUCGAAGCUCUAAUACUGAUCAAAGUCGGUUAGUCAAGUGUCAAAUUCAUAUAUGUAUCAAAGGAAGCAAAUGACGAGGCCAUGAGUAUGAUCCUAGAGCUAUUAGAUGAAAGGCACGAAUCCACCCUCGUCCAAUGGGCUACCCAAAACCAGCAGAUCGAGAGAUAUUAUAAUCGAAGGUUCAACCUUCGGCACUUCAAUAUCGGGGACUUAGUACUAAGGAAGGUCACACUAAACACCCGAAAAUCGAACAAGUUGGGGCCGAACUGGGAAGGACCAUACCAAAUUCUCGAGAUCACCGGAAAGGAUCGUACAAACUCGGGGCAAUGAAUGGUGAACGACUACUGAAUAACUGGAACAUAACUCACUUGAAGCGAUACUACUACUAAGGUACAACCCCACUUAUUUCCUUUUUACUUAUUUUGAGCUAAUAUUUGCAGGUAAUCAACAAGGAGCGGUACAAAUUUUUAGGUCUAAAAGCAUGCAUUGCACUCUUUUUCUAUUGAACUGGUUUUGUGCCAAGUAGGUUUUCCGGCAAAGUUUCAAACGAGGCAACAAUAUAUCGUGCUAACUUAGAAUAGAAGGACGGUCAUGAACCAGUGUCAAAAAUUGCAUCAAUAGUAUCCGAGGCUUCUCUCUAUUAUUAACCCCAAAUAUUGGGGGACAGUACCAUCGGAUAUCGACUUUAGCAGCGAAAGUAACUUCGUGAUUGAAGGGUCUCGAUAGAUAGGAUUUAACAUAAGGGUCAAACGGUCAAAUAAAUCAUGGCCGCAUAGACUGCUCGAGCCCUGUCACAAAGCAUGUACACAUGUAUAACUAUUUUACACAAGAAUAAAAAGAAGUCUCUUCCUUGCAGAUAAAUACCUUGUCAUUUUAAAAACAAUCUUGCAUUUUUCAAGGAACUUCAUAAAUCUAAUCCCUUUAAAAUAUCGAGCCCAAGGGCCACCUUAAUCUGAGUUCGAACAAUCACUCUCACUUAGGGACUACCAUACGAUAACAAACUCGAAUUGUCCGGGCUAUCAGAGUUCGGGGGCAUAAGACAUAUCAAAAAAUGCUCGAAUUUUAAAGGCUACAGUCAUCCCUAUUCGGGGACUGUUAUCUUAGGCAAGUUAGGAUUACUCGAGGUGCGAAGCCCAUUGGGAAGCAACCAAAUUAAAAAAGCUAUAACCAAAUUAAAAUGGCUCGGAGACGUCCGAGACCUGUAACAAAAAUAACAAGGCCUUAAAAUUUCUUAAACGGUUCUAAAGGCUAUCCUCGAUAAACUAUGAUCUAAAAAAGUCUAAGUACUUUGGGGAAAACAAUUUUUGUCACACCGAACUCUUGCAAAGCCUUAAAACAAAAUAAAUUUGAAGGCAAGAUUUGUUCGAACCUCCGAACAUAUUCUUACUAUUUCAAGCUAAGGCAUUUAGAUCUUUGCAUAUUUAAGUAAAUAAAGCAAAGAGAAAAUUCAAAAGUUGUUGAAGGGAAAAGCCUUAUAUACAAAAUCAAAAAUUCUUUUUAUAAGGGCCAAAUAGCUCCGAUGCAAAUUUUACAAAGGCUAAACGACCUCAACAAAAAGAUAAUACAAAAAACAAAAACAUCUAAUUUUCUCACUUUGUAUCAAUUUAAUAUACGUAUUCUUAAAAUAACUUAUAAAUUUAAUUGUUAUUAGAUUUUGAGGGUAAAUAGAACAGUUCCCUCAGAAUUUGCCUCCAUCAUUAUGCAUUACAUGUAUCGCUGUUUUAGUUUGAACAACUGUGUAACAUAAAUUUAAUCCAAAGUUUACUGGAUAAAUUAUGUAUUUUGUCUUACAUGUAUCGCUGCUUUAGUUUGAAAUUUUUCAAAGUCGUUAGUUGAUAAACAGUCAAACAUACAAAAAUUACUCAUAGUGCAUAUUUACCUUUAGGAGGCAGAAUGCUCUCGGCGCAUUUUAGCAGAGCAAUAUAACAGUACCAUACACGGCGCACAAUAGCAAGGUGCAAUUGACGCCGGAAAUGGCCAGACGCAGGCGAAAUGCAGCUCCGACGACCACAAUAACUCAUCCUCAGCUCGUCACCCCUACUUACUGUGUCACUAGGUUGAAGAAGCUAACAAUACACUUCCGAAGGGUAAUAAAGAGUUGAUUAACACGACUGCAAGGAGAUUCGAAUUUUCUGAAGUGAAUGAACCUGCUAAAUCAGUACAAACUGCUGCUGAAGUUGUCAGAGGUAAUCGAGAUGCACAUAUGGGUAAGGUACUCUCAUUUGUUCCUCCUUCUGGAAAAAAGUUGUGAAGAUUAAUGAGGAAGACCUUAAACCUCAGAUGGAUUACUGGCAGAAUGCACUGGUUGGAUUUGUAAUAGGUGAUAAUCCCAGUGAGAGGAAUAUGAAAAGCUUUGUCAUGCAUGUAUGGAACUUUGUUGCUAAACCUCAAGUUUUAAUGCAUGCUGAAGGCUACUGUAUUUUUCGUUUUAAUAGCACUGAGGAUAGGUGUUGCAAUCAGGGCCUUACACCUAUAGAAAUAAGCCGAUGGUUUUAAAGCCCUGGGAGGUUGAUUUUGAUUUUCAUAAUAAUGUUCUUAGCACUGUUCCAAUUUGGAUUAGAUUUCCUGGCCUUCCAGUGGGCUACUGGUCUACUGAAGUUUUAAGUAAAAUGGCCAGUGCAAUUGGUAAGCCAUUAUACACUGAUAAAUUCACUGCACAUUAUGAGAAGAUCUCAUUUGCCAGAGUUUUAGUUGAAGUAGAUGCUGCUUAUCCUUUGCCUGACCAAUUGGAAAUUGAGACUCCUUAUGGUUCAAAAAUCCAGACAAUUGAGUAUGACUGGAAGCCUUGCUGUUGCAACCAUUGGUUGACGUUUGGGCAUGACAUCUUUGACUGCUGGUAUUCUGCUAAGAACAAUGAACAUAAGGAAGUGAAACAGCUGGACAAACUACCUAGGCAGAAAGGAAAGGGCAAACAGCUAGGUAAAACAGAAUGGCAGGUCAAACAAACUGUAGCAGAGGUGCAGGUAACUCAUGAGGAAGCUGUAACAGAUAAAGUGCUGGGAAAUCAGAUAGUGCAGGAAUCUAGUAGAAUAGAUGAGAGCCUAUCCAAUUCUCAGCAGAUUGCACUGACUGAGGCUGUGUGUCAAGGGGUGCUUGUUACUACAGGAAAUGGAGUUACUUACCAAAUGGUUGACAACUAUGACAAGGGAAAGGCAACAAUGAAUGUGGAGAGUAAUAGGAUCCAACAGAUUGAUCCAGGACCCUCUUAUAGAGGUUCCCCUCCCCUUCUAUGAUUAUAGCUACUUGGAAUAUUAGGGGCCUUAACCAGCCCCAUAAACAGAAGGAAUUGGAAAAUUUCCUUGCUGUAAAUAAAGUAGAUGCCAUGGGAGUAGUAGAAACUAGAGUAAAGGAGCACAAAGCCAAGAAAAUACUGGACAAGGUGGCCAAGGAUUGGAAACCCCAUAAACAGAAGGAAUUGAAAAAUUUCCUUGCUGUAAUAAGGUGAUGUCAUGGUAGUAGUAGAAACUAGAGUAAAGGAGCACAAAGCCAAGAAAAUACUAGACAAGGUGGCCAAGGAUUGGAAGGUGCAAUGCAAUUAUUCUAAGGCUACUAAUGGAAGAAUCUGGUUACUGUGGAAGUCUUACAUUCAAGUACAUAUCUCUUCUAUUACAGAUCAACUUAUUCACUGUUUUAUUGAUGACACAAGAACACAAAUCAAAAUCCAGUUUAGUGCUAUAUAUGGUCACAAUACUACACCUCUCAAAGUUCAACUAUGGCAUGAUCUCAGAGCUAUACAUGGUUCCAAUCAAGAUGCUUGGCUAAUUAGUGGUGACUUUNNNNNNNNNNNNNNNNNNNNNNNNNNNNNNNNNNNNNNNNNNNNNNNNNNNNNNNNNNNNNNNNNNNNNNNNNNNNNNNNNNNNNNNNNNNNNNNNNNNNNNNNNNNNNNNNNNNNNNNNNNNNNNNNNNNNNNNNNNNNNNNNNNNNNNNNNNNNNNNNNNNNNNNNNNNNNNNNNNNNNNNNNNNNNNNNNNNNNNNNNNNNNNNNNNNNNNNNNNNNNNNNNNNNNNNNNNNNNNNNNNNNNNNNNNNNNNNNNNNNNNNNNNNNNNNNNNNNNNNNNNNNNNNNNNNNNNNNNNUUAAACAAGUUUGGGAGCAGGAUUAUAUAGGCUCACCAAUGCAGCAGAUUUGGAGUAAAUUGAAGGCAAUGAAGCAGCAACUCAAAGGUAUAAAUAACCACAUGGCAACCUACAAACAGCAGAUUGUUCGGGCAAGGGAAAGGCUUGGCAGUAUCCAGGUGCAGCUGCAAAGUAACCCUCUCUCGCAGGAAUUGAUAAAUGAUGAAAGAGAUAUACUAGAAGAACUUGAGAAAUGGAACAGUGUGGAGGAACAAAUAAUGAGGCAGAAAUCCAAAGCUCUAUGGAUUGAAUGUGGUGAUGCAAAUACUAAGUAUUUUCAUGCACAAUAGAGGAUCAGGACAGGCCAAAAUAAUAUCACUUCUAUUUAUACUGACACAGGUAUAAAACUAACNNNNNNNNNNNNNNNNNNNNNNNNNNNNNNNNNNNNNNNNNNNNNNNNNNNNNNNNNNNNNNNNNNNNNNNNNNNNNNNNNNNNNNNNNNNNNNNNNNNNNNNNNNNNNNNNNNNNNNNNNNNNNNNNNNNNNNNNNNNNNNNNNNNNNNNNNNNNNNNNNNNNNNNNNNNNNNNNNNNNNNNNNNNNNNNNNNNNNNNNNNNNNNNNNNNNNNNNNNNNNNNNNNNAACCAGUUACUAUGGAGGAGAUUACUGCAGCUGUAACUGAAAUGCCAAAGGAUAAGGCUCCAAGAGUAGAUGGCUUUCCUAUUGAAUUCUUUACUAAAAACUGGGAGGUGGUGCAAGAAGAUAUACUAUCUGCUGCUGAGGAGUUCUUUGAAACCUGCCAAAUGCCACAUAUGAUUAAUACCACUGCAAUAGCCCUUGUGCCUAAAAUUAAAACUCCUACCACUGUAAAGGUAAUGAAUGGUAGCCUUACUAAACCAUUCAUAGCUAAGAGAGGCAUAAGACAGGGGGUCCUAUGUCACCUUAUCUCUUUGUAUUGGCCAUGGAAUAUCUUAACAGAUUACUCCAGCAGCUGCAUAAAGAUGGGAAUUUCAAUUUUCAUCCUAGGUGCAGGAAGCUCAACAUAUCCCAUGUCUGUUUUGCUGAUGACUUGCUCAUGUUUUGCAGGGCUGACUUAAUAUCCAUCCAGAUAUUGCACAGGACUUUCUUCAAUUCUCAGCAGCAUCUGGCCUUAAGGCUAAUGUAAGUAAAAGUGCAAUCUAUUUGGCUGGAGUUCCACUGGACAUCAGAGAAGAGAUUAUUGCAGUUCUGGGAUUCACUGAAGGACAUCUCCCUUUCAGAUAUUUAGGUGUCCCNNNNNNNNNNNNNNNNNNNNNNNNNNNNNNNNNNNNNNNNNNNNNNNNNNNNNNNNNNNNNNNNNNNNNNNNNNNNNNNNNAAGUUGGCUAUUCAUCACUAUUUGCCUCUUAUUGAGAAGAUUACAGCUAGAGUCACUUGCUGGUCAGCUAAACUGUUAUCUUAUGCUGGCAGAACUCAACUGAUUAAGUCAGUGAUCUUUGGAAUGCAGACUUACUGGGCUCAGGUGUUUGUUAUACCCAAGAAAGUCUUGAAGACUAUAAAAGCAAUAUGUAGAACUUAUCUUUGGACUGGUAAAGCUACACUAUCCAGAAGAGCAUUAGUUGCAUGGGACAAUGUAUGUCAACCUCUUUCUUCUGGUGGACUUAAUAUUCUGAGGUUGGAUGUCUGGAACAAAGCAGCCAUAGUCAAAUUAUUAUGGGAUUUGGCUAGGAAAAAGGACUGUUUAUGGGUCAAAUGGGUGCAUACUUAUUAUAUCAAGAAUAGGAAUGUUGACACAGUUGUUGUACCAGCUACCACUUCUUAAGUGAUCAAAAAGAUUCUGGACAGUAGAUCCUUGGUGAUGGACAAUGCUCAGUUGCAGGGUACUCUUACAUGCAAAGUAUAUGCAAGUUGGACAAGUUUCAUAUUCACAAACUGUAUAUUGCUUUACUGCCUAGAUUCACUAAGGUUGCAUGGAAAAACUUAAUGCUUAUUACAAAUGUUCUUCCUAAGCACAAGUUUACUGUUUGGUUAGCUGCUCAGCACAAGCUUCCCAGAGUUGAUAGAUUACAGAUUAUGGGCAUACAAGUUCCAAUACUGUGUGCAUUCUGUAAGCAGCAUGUUGAGGAUUUCAAGCACCUGUUUUUUGAAUGUUAUAUCACCAACAGAUAAUGGGUGAGAAUUUGUGUAUGGCUGGGACACUCCAGGACCAUUGGUUGCUUGGAAAAUGAGGUACACUGGAUUUGUAGCAAGGCUAGAAGCAAGCAAUGGCAGAAUGCUAUCACNNNNNNNNNNNNNNNNNNNNNNNNNNNNNNNNNNNNNNNNNNNNNNNNNNNNNNNNNNNNNNNNNNNNNNNNNNNNNNNNNNNNNNNNNNNNNNNNNNNNNNNNNNNNNNNNNNNNNNNNNNNNNNNNNNNNNNNNNNNNNNNNNNNNNNNNNNNNNNNNNNNNNNNNNNNNNNNNNNNNNNNNNNNNNNNNNNNNNNNNNNNNNNNNNNNNNNNNNNNNNNNNNUUUAGAGGCAGAAAAUGCAAGAAUUGGCAGACUGGAUUGAGCAAGUUAAACUCUUACCCUUAGGUAGCUUACUUAGAUGCAUACUUGUGUAUAGAUAGUAAUAGACAAUAGCUUACUGAAACAGUGUAGUAGUUAGCCCACACUACUACUAAUCUUGAUACAUUGUAAAUAUUUUUUGAUAUUAAUAAUAUUACAGUUUGAUCAAAAAAAAUGAUGGCAAAAAUUUUCCUGCAAGGGUAAUCGACAUUCUUACAUGUACAAACAGACAUUGCCAUAAUUAAGAGUCUUUGCUAAUUAUUGGUCUCAAAGUACUUGGUUUUGGGCUCUAAAUUUGACUUCACAUUUUGACUCGUACUUUAAAUUAGAGCACCAAAAUGACACCUUCACAGAUUUCCGUUACAAUAAAGGAAAGAAUGAAAAGGAAAGGUGUUGAAAAAUAAAGCUAACUUGUCUGGUCAUUUUAAAAGCCUAUUCAUUUAUUAAUGUGAUAUACGUGGCAUUCCAUCUACCAAAAACUUUUGAGGAUAGCGGAAGAAGGGUUUGCUUGUGGGGGGGUCUGUCUCUCAUAAAUUAGGCUUUUUAGAUGUACCUUAGCUAUAAUGUUUAGUAUUUCCUCUGUUUCAUAUUGUUUGACGUAAUUUGAUUCGGCAUGAACUUUAAAAAAAAAAGAGGAUUUUAAAAACUUGUAAUCUUAAAAGAUUAAGGGGUAAAAGAUUGUGGAGCCAUAUCAUUUGUGUGGCUAUAAAAACUUUUCACUAAUGGCAAAAAUGAUAAAAUAAAGAGUUUAAAGUUAAAUUGUUUCCAAAUUUAGAAAUGUGUCAUUUAUUUUAGAACAAACUAAAAAGGAAAGUAUAUCAAACAAUAUAAAACAGAGGGAGUAUUAAUUAAAGAGUCAAAAGGAAUUUGCAAUUUGAAAAUUAAGUAGGUCCCAACUGAUAUUUUUUCAGGAUUUGUAACUUAGUAAUUAAAAAAUCUUAAUACGGAGCACUUUUACUUAAUAAGUAUGAAUUUAGAUUAAUUAAGACAAUGAAUUUUAAACAUUUAAUGAUUAAAAGAAUAGCCCCGUACACCUAAUAUCAUAUGGUUAGCCUAAAUUUUUGCGUAGAGUCAGACCUUUGUAUAAAAACAUUUCUAUAAAAGUUAAGGUUUUUUGGAAUCGAUUUUUAUGUUGUGUUAUAAUAUAUAUUAUUUAUAAUAACACAUCACUAUAACAAUCAGAAAAUAUAGAAAGAAAGGAAAUUGUUAUAGCGAGUUUUGACUUUGACAAAAUAACAUCUUGUUACAAUUUUUUUGUUGUUUUGCUUUAUUUUCCCAGCGAAGUAAAUUUAAAAAAAGGGAUGCAAAUAAGAGUUAGACUAACUUAUUACUAUCUUCACGUCUCUUUGAGGGUUACUUCUUGGUGUUCAUCGGGCGGAUUGGACGGCUUUUUACUCUUAAUGGUUUGGCUUAGCGGUUAUCGCUUUUUAAAUGUAUUAAUCCGUUAGCCACUCGAUAAGAUAUCGGGCGGAUUGGUAUCGGGUUAGCNNNNNNNNNNNNNNNNNNNNNNNNNNNNNNNNNNNNNNNNNNNNNNNNNNNNNNNNNNNNNNNNNNNNNNNNNNNNNNNNNNNNNNNNNNNNNNNNNNNNNNNNNNNNNNNNNNNNNNNNNNNNNNNNNNNNNNNNNNNNNNNNNNNNNNNNNNNNNNNNNNNNNNNNNNNNNNNNNNNNNNNNNNNNNNNNNNNNNNNNNNNNNNNNNNNNNNNNNNNNNNNNNNNNNNNNNNNNNNNNNNNNNNNNNNNNNNNNNNNNNNNNNNNNNNNNNNNNNNNNNNNNNNNNNNNNNNNNNNNNNNNNNNNNNNNNNNNNNNNNNNNNNNNNNNNNNNNNNNNNNNNNNNNNNNNNNNNNNNNNNNNNNNNNNNNNNNNNNNNNNNNNNNNNNNNNNNNNNNNNNNNNNNNNNNNNNNNNNNNNNNNNNNNNNNNNNNNNNNNNNNNNNNNNNNNNNNNNNNNNNNNNNNNNNNNNNNNNNNNNNNNNNNNNNNNNNNNNNNNNNNNNNNNNNNNNNNNNNNNNNNNNNNNNNNNNNNNNNNNNNNNNNNNNNNNNNNNNNNNNNNNNNNNNNNNNNNNNNNNNNNNNNNNNNNNNNNNNNNNNNNNNNNNNNNNNNNNNNNNNNNNNNNNNNNNNNNNNNNNNNNNNNNNNNNNNNNNNNNNNNNNNNNNNNNNNNNNNNNNNNNNNNNNNNNNNNNNNNNNNNNNNNNNNNNNNNNNNNNNNNNNNNNNNNNNNNNNNNNNNNNCGUUAAGAAAAUUGAAUAAUCCAUCCCCAAACCGAUAAGCCGUUAAUAAAAAAAAUUCAAUCCGUUCCCCAUCCGUUAAGCCGUUAAGCCGUUAUCAGUAAGCCGUUAAGCUUCGGUUUGGAUUGAUUUUCGGUUUCGGAUCGAUUUUGAACACCCCUAGUUACUUCAAUAGAGAGGCUUGAGUAAGAAUAAAAUAAAACCAGAGAUGAUAUAUUUAUACAACAAAAAUAUCCCCAAUAAUUCUACGGAGCAUCAUAGUGAGGCUAGUCUAUUAGGAUUUAGUUUUAAACUGCUAGUAGUUAGUAAUGAGUUUUCACUGCUCUUUCGUUCCUCUUAGUGUUGGGCUUUAUCUACCAGUUGUUGUUUUGCUUUCCAUUUAUUUCCUGCUCUUUGCGAUGUUGUUAUAUCUUUCUAUAGUUUUAUUGAUGUUACUGAUAUAUUACCUCUUUUCGUCUUCUUGAGUUUGAAGGUUUUUCGGGAACAAUCUCUUUAUCCAUAUUACCCUUCCCAGAUCUCACUAGUUAAAUUUUACUAAAUUGUUGUUACAGAAGCGGCUCAAGAGAGUAGGUGGCCUAAAGCCAAAUCUUAACAUGAGGCCUUAGACAUAAUUAAUAAAAUUUUCAUAUUUUUCUUUUGACGUUUAUUUUUUAGCCUUUGCAGGUGCAAAAUUGCUAAUUAUCUAUUUAUGAUCAAUUUUUACAGAGCAAUUUUUACGAGGUUAGGUCAAUUUUGCUACUUUCUCGGACACAAUUAAUAUUUUAUUCCACUCCAAAAAUACAAGUGAAAUAAUACAAAAGAAAGAAGACGCAUAUACCUUAAGAAGAUAAAAAAAAGUAAAUAAAAUGUGUAUUUAAAUCUUAAAUAUUAGGUUUUCUUUUAUAGGGUGAAGUUCUCUCCCGAUUGAAGUCCUUCAUCGAUGUGGAAUGAACUUUUAACAUAUUUAACAAUAAUUUAUAAACAUAUAGAAAAAGGGUAAAUUUUGGGGCCUUUUAUUUUUGGGGGCCUAAAGCUUUAGCCUGGGAUCCAGAAAAAGAUAAGAUGUACAUAUACUUUUAAAAUACAUGGAAUGGGAGACCUAUAUAAUUUUACUAAACUAGAGGAAGUAUUGGAGCAAAUCAGUUAAUUACUUUUUUUGUUGGGGGGUUGGCAGUUGGUACGGACAACAAUUUUCUUGAAACUAUAAUUUAUAAGUAGUACUUAUUUAUUUGUAUUAUAAUCUUUGAUAGUUCAAAUUUGGGAUUAUUCUAUAAUAAUAUGUAAACUACUAAACUACUAUUUGUAUAUACGCAAGUACAAAGGAAGAGGGUGGAUUUGGGAAGAAUGAAAAAGAUGGGUUUGAAAUGAACCCCAAAAAAGCAGCAGAGUUUUAAAGCUGCUGAGAAAGAAAUAUAUAUAUAUAUAUAUCUCACACACACACAAUUCUUCAGCUCCAUUAUUUGACAGUCUCUUUUAAGUGUGGCAGAGUACUUCUGCUUCACAACUCCCCAAGCUGGCACCAUACCCCAUUGUCAGCUGUCUUCUUUUCAUAGUGUAACAAAUCAUCCUCAACAACAUAUGGAGUAUUAUCCUACGCUGUUAGAAAACAAACCAACUAAUUCUCAAGGUUAAGUUGUGCCUUAAUGAGCUAUAAGUCACUAAUAUUUAUUUUAAAAUAUAUUAUCUAGAUUACACCUCCCUGAACUGCUGCCCUUCUUCCGAUGCUCAUAAAUGUAAAAUGCUUUGAAUAGUACAUUCUCCCUCAUUUUUUAAUAAUUGUGAUAUUCGGAUUAAUUUGCACAUGUCAACUAAUUUUACAAAAUAUAUAGAGUUCGUUUGGACAUAAAAAAAUUCACUUAUUUUCCAAAAAAAUUUACUUUUUUUUGAAAUUAGCGUUUGUUCAUAAAAUUUUCAAUUUUCAUUUGAAGAUAGCAUUUUAAAAAUUUUCGAAAAUUUUAAAAAAUUCCAAAAAGCUAUUUUUAAAUUUUUCACUCACAAAACUUCAAAAACAACCCAAGAUUACAUCCAUGUCCAAAAACAGCUAAAUUUCAAAUAUCACUUUUACUUGAAAAAGCCUUUUCACCUUUUUUUUGGAAUUUUACAAUUUAUAUGUCCAAACGCCCACUUAAAAUUUCACGCUAACAUACUAAAAUAGUCAAACUGUUUCUAAGUGUAUUUUUUCUUAAAAUUAAUUUUUUUAAAAGUAUUUUUGAAGAGAAGUUACUUUUUAUGCCUCACCAAAAUUGCUUUUGCUUUUGCUCAAAAUUUUUUUUUUCUCUGAAAAUUUGGCCAAAUACUUUAAUUUAAAAAAAAUUAUUAAAAAAAAUAAUUUUGGCUUGGAGAAGCUUAAACACUUACCCAUAAACCCCAUUUUUCUUUAAUUUAGAUACUCCCAAAGUCCCAAUUCACAAGUAUUCACACAUAAAAUAAAAAAUAAAAAAAUAAAAAAAGUAUUCACACAUAUAUUUGGACAUAAAAUAAUCACAAAAAAUGUUUUUUAUUAAAGAAUUGUUUUUAAGGCUUUCUGCUCGACUAUAAAUGUAAAUAAAGUAAGAGGUUCUCUUCAACCUGAAUGGGGGGCACCUUUUUUUUUAUUUAUCAAUGAUUUGACUCAAACAAGGUUGUAAUGAAUGGGCUCAGUAAGUCGGAAAUGGAACUUCUGGCUUCUGCUUCUUCUUCUACUUCUACUACUUCUACUUCCCCCGACUCUCCUCCCAACACUUUAAAAUGUGGUCAAAAAAUCUACUUUGAGCAUGUUGGACCUCAGCACCUCAAAUCAGCAACUGUGUCGUCGUCGUCGUCGUCGCCGCCGCCGGUUACCGGAACUCCGGCGCCGGUGAUGUCCAAGAAAGGAAGAGGGGGUGGUGUGGUUCAAGGUCGGCAACCACCUAGGUGUCAAGUUGAAGGGUGUGAAGCAGAUCUGAGUGAUGUUAAGGCUUACUAUUCAAGGCACAAAGUCUGUGCUACACAUUCUAAGUCUCCUGUGGUCAUUGUUGCUGGUCUUGAACAAAGAUUUUGUCAACAGUGUAGCAGGUGAGGCCUUAUUAAUUACUACUAUAAACAACAACAACCCAGUAUAAUCUCACCGGAAAGUACUGUGUAAGCAGACCUUACCCUAUUCCUGGGGCAUCCUUGGCUCCAAUAACUUCCCACCUUGGCUCCAAUAACUUCCCAAAAACACUAGCUGAUUUCGCGAUAGAGUUACCAGCUACCUGUGUAGCCAUGACAUAGCCGAGGUGCACGCAAACUGGGCUCGAACACCAUUGUCAUAAAAAAUAUUAUUAGUAUUAUAAAAAAAAAUUAUAUAUAUAUAUAUAUAUAUAUAUAUAUAUANNNNNNNNNNNNNNNNNNNNNNNNNNNNNNNNNNNNNNNNNNNNNNNNNNNNNNNNNNNNNNNNNNNNNNNNNNNNNNNNNNNNNNNNNNNNNNNNNNNNNNNNNNNNNNNNNNNNNNNNNNNNNNNNNNNNNNNNNNNNNNNNNNNNNNNNNNNNNNNNNNNNNNNNNNNNNNNNNNNNNNNNNNNNNNNNNNNNNNNNNNNNNNNNNNNNNNNNNNNNNNNNNNNNNNNNNNNNNNNNNNNNNNNNNNNNNNNNNNNNNNNNNNNNNNNNNNNNNNNNNNNNNNNNNNNNNNNNNNNNNNNNNNNNNNNNNNNNNNNNNNNNNNNNNNNNNNNNNNNNNNNNNNNNNNNNNNNNNNNNNNNNNNNNNNNNNNNNNNNNNNNNNNNNNNNNNNNNNNNNNNNNNNNNNNNNNNNNNNNNNNNNNNNNNNNNNNNNNNNNNNNNNNNNNNNNNNNNNNNNNNNNNNNNNNNNNNNNNNNNNNNNNNNNNNNNNNNNNNNNNNNNNNNNNNNNNNNNNNNNNNNNNNNNNNNNNNNNNNNNNNNNNNNNNNNNNNNNNNNNNNNNNNNNNNNNNNNNNNNNNNNNNNNNNNNNNNNNNNNNUAUAUAUAUAUAUAUAUAUAUAGUUGCAUGCAUAUGAUUGAAAUAUUAAAUUAUUGCUUAUGAAGUUGUGGUCCUGCGCCUUUGUGGAGUUUGCUUAUUGUUUUAUUUGGAGAGUUGACUAUGCUGGAUUUGUUAAUUUGUUGUUUGCUAAUUCAUUGGUGCAAGAGGAUUUAUAUAGUAUUAAUCUUUUGUCCAGUUAAGGUGUCUCUUUCAGUCUUUCUUCCCUAAUAUAACAUCCAAAAGCUACUUGAAAGCUGAGAAUUCCACUAUGCUGUGGUUGAAUGUGAUAUGUGUUUGAUUUUGUUUUAGAUGUUCAGUGCAAUUUUCUGCUUCUUGUAGAGGACUCAGCUGGAACUAGAUAUGCUUGUUUUCGUAAAUACAACAACAACAAGAACCCAGUGAGAUCCCACACGUGGGGUCUAGGGAUGGUAGUGUGUGCGCACACCUUACCCAUACUCCGGAGGAGGCUUGUUUUCGUAAAUGGCUUGAAUAAAUACUAGGAUUACUACCUAAUCAAGAAUCAUUCUUCUUAAACCAUGAUUUGCUUUUCUGAAAAACAAAUUUAAUUAUUCAGAAAAAAUGGAAAAAGUACUAGACGUAUAUGUUUGUAGAACUUUUUUUCUGUUUCAAAAUGACUGUCAAAAGUUAAGGCGUAUUGCAUUUGAAAAGAAAUAAUUCUUUCACUUUACUUGGGAAGCAAUAGGAGAUUAACUUUGGGAGAUAUAGCAUACUCCAAUAAGUUUAGUAUAACUACAGCUACAGGAUUACUAAAGUUCGAAAGUUCUAGAUAUGAUCAUGGCUAUACGGUGUGUUAGAGUUUGCAGGAAUUAACUUUUGUUGGUUUGAGGAGGCUGUGGUAAGGUGGUGUUUGGGUUUGUGCUUCACUCAAAAACAUGUGUUUUGUCGAUAAGCGUGAAAAUGUGGAUGGAGAAAAGAUGAUGCAAAUUAGUGUUUUGAAGCCAAGUUACUGGUCAAAGAAAUGGUAUGUCUAAAUUGCUGUGGUUAACACAAUGGAGGCUUUCCUCGUCGAAAAUUGACCUAUCUAUGUUUUUGGGUUAGUUCAUUGAGCAUUCUAACAAAUUUAGUGACAAGAUAACAAAUAUAUUGCAUGGUUCGUUAGAGAAAACAGGGGAAAACGAGAUGAAAAACUCCAAGUUUAGGAGAAAUUACACUGUCACUGGCGCAGAUAUACUCACGUUGAAGUAAUAAUAUCUGUAGAAAAGGGUUGAAUGAUGGAGUUGAUGUAAAAAUUCAACUCUGAGCAGUUUUAUCAGAAAAUAAAUGUUACUGUACUAAAUUACUAUCAGGAAUAAUAUAAAUUCAGUGUUACAUGCCCAUUUUUCCCUCAGAAGUCGAAGCUAUAUAUUUUAUAUGAUGAAUAUGUUUUUGUUCGUUUUGAACAGCAUAACGGAUGCUGAAGAAUUUGGUAAAAGCCAAAAAGGAAAAGGAUAAGACCAAGUAAAUUAAGUUGAGAGUAUUUGUGAAGAGAUAUGCUCUGCUAGUUUGGUUGAUGAAGAGAUGUCAACAAAGCACAGCAGUUAACUUACAUUAUUAAAUCAGAAUACUUAUUUUUUGGUUUUCUUGACUGGGAAAUGGAGUUAUGCUAAUAACUCCUCCUUUCUUUAUUACCCUCUAUCUAGUUUUUAACUUUUUCCCAUUUUUCGUUCUGAGAAGGAGUUGGGGUUGGGGGAAAAUGUAGGAUCUUUGCUAUUCCUCUUGAAUCUAGCUUUCAUUAUGCAUGCAGUAUCGCUUAGAAGAAGGAAUCAUUAACUGAUAAUGCACUUGUCCCAAAAAACGAUUAUCACAAAUGAUAGUGCAAACUCUUUCCAAUUUAACUACAGUUAUUGAAGAAGGAAUCGCUUAGGUGUGUGUUUUUUAUUGCGAAAACCUUUUUUUUUCGCACCAACAUAUUUAUCUGUUCUAUGUCUCAUGCUACUCUUACCCAAGUCUAGACGUGGUGAAGUUCUCUGGCAAACAAUUUUAAAAUUUGUGUUGUAGAGGAUUAACUUCAACUUUAUUUUUGUGUUGUCUUAGUUCAUUCUGCUGAAUUUUCAAUUACUUUGAAAUAACCAAUAUCCUGGAUUUCCAUGUCAAAAGCCCAUUUUUUGAGAUUCACAGAAUUGACAUCAUGCACUGUAAUCAACAAUGAAAAAUAACAACUGCAUACAACAUUGUAGGCAUGAAUUGUAGCCUGAGGCUAACGGGAAUAGAGUGGCUAGGGCUUGAUCAGUUUGCUCGCUGCAAUGAAUAGUACUCUGUGGUUUACCUUGAUUGGCUUGGUUGUUCUAUCUCAGUAUCAGAUAAAGUAACUGCAGCGCCUUUCCAAGCUGAAAUAAGGAUAUAAUAGCUCCAGUGCUAGACCUCUAUUUUUCUGGAGAACAAAAAGAAAUCCAUCUGGAUGCAAGUACUCUUUCAAAGAGUCCUACAUGGAUAAGUAGCUACAUUGUCUAUUCUUUUGAUUGGACAUUCAAUUUAGUGAUCCAAUUGAAGCAAUGUGAUGUGUCUUCUUUUUUAUGAGAAUGGUGCUUGCCUUGCACGAAUUUACUUUCUGCCAUAGAUGGUGUUGAUAUUCAUUCUUACAAGAUCCAGAUUAAUCCUAGUGAGUUGAUUUUUCUUUAAAACAAAAAUGGCAGACAUUUUUUGGUUCUCUGUUAGUUGUUGCCAUGUGUGCAUUAGCUCUUCUGACAAGGGAAAAGUUUUUCAUGUUCGUCUUCUAUUUCAAAGAUAUUUUAGCUGCUAAUUCCUGAUGCGCUUAACAUAAUAACAACAACUAUGCCUUAGUCCCAAACAAGUGAGAUUCGACUAUAUGAAUCCUGACUUCUUUCUUACCACCAACACUGACAGGCCAGCUCACCACGAAAGUGGACAGGUUUGAGAUUUGUUAUGUGCUACUUGCAUUGUUCAAGUGUUUUUAUGGCCAUCAAGGAAAUUACCAGACUGCUCUUAUGCGUCUCCAAUGGGCCCAAGUGUUCCAACCAACCAACUCCAAACUAUUCGCUAUCUCCAUACUCGUUUUGUCUAACCAUCGGCUUUGAUAUUAUGUCAAGAAAGGAGGAGUGAGAGAUUUGGGGAAUGAAGUGCUUGGUUAUUCCCUGAAGCAUCUAGUAACUCGGAAAAGGAAAAGAAAGAACUCCCAACUUCUAGUUACACAAUUAUAGGGAUACCAAACCUUCCCAUAUUUACAAGGAAUGGAUUCUUGCCAUGUAUACAAUUUCUUACACAUUAUGUUAACAUUUCUCACAAUAUAACAGUCCGACAUCACACCAUCUUUUGGGGGGAAAAGGUUAUGGCACUUCAAGCUGAAUCAUGAUUUUCUUUUCUUUGUUUCCACUGCACUUGAUCCAAAUCCUCUAGGUAGUUGAUUUGAUAUGAUACCAUUAAGUUGUUCUUUAUAUGUCAUUUAUAACUCCUUUUUUGCUUCUUGCUUUUGUUAAAUUCUUUCAUUACGUUGCUAUUUGUAUUAUUAAGCUCAUUAUUAUCAUCAAUAGAUCUCGGAAAGUAACAAAUGCUUGUUCAGGUUUUGGUUAAAUCUUAUGUGAUCAAGAGCGCUUGAAUUGUUGAUCUAACUACAAUGAUAAAGUGGCUUGAAAAACAAAAAAUCUUAGAAACCACCAAUUGUGAGGGCUAUCCUCAGCAUUAUUUUGGACAUGUCUAGCCAUAUAAUAUAACUACUUUUACACGGUGGUAUGAUAACAGAAGUGCUUCUAAGGUGCCCAUCGUUAAUUACAUUUGGCUCUUUAUCCAUAUUGCAGUGAUCGGACCUUAUUUUAUUUGUCCGAGCGGUUGAGGGAAUGCCAUAGCUAAGCUGUGUUUCCCAAGAUUUAAAUGGCUUGCUGAAUGAUUUGUUGCAAAUAAGGGGUUUUAAAUAUCAGUAUGUUGUUUAAUAAUAAUGGAAAAUGCUAGUUUGCAAUUGGGAAUAGGGGCUAACAAUAUCUUUGAUCAGUUGCUUCCCUUUGCCUGGAAUUAACUGUUGGUACUUUGCUUCCAGGUUCCAUCGGUUGCCAGAAUUUGACCAAGGGAAACGCAGUUGCCGCAGGCGCCUAGCAGGCCAUAAUGAGCGUCGGAGGAAACCUCCACCUGGAUCUCUUUUGUCUAAUCGCUAUGGAAGUCUUUCUUCAUCAAUAUUUGGUAAGGGUGCUCCUUGCAUAAGACUUCAUGGAGCUUAAGCAUUUCUUUGGCUCUGUUACUUCAUUGCUUACCAUAGUUGUUUUAACAUCUGCACUUGCAGAAAACAAUGGCAGAUCUGGAAGUUUUCUGGUCGACUUCACUGCAUAUCCAAAUCUCACUGGAGGUACAUGGCCAAAUACUAGAUCAUCUGAGCGGGGAUGGGAUAAUCAAUCCAAUGCAUCAGGGAAGCUUCUCCAGAGUCAUUGGCUGAACAAUUCUGAAAAUCCUACAUCCGACCUUGUUCUGCAAGGUUCAGUUUCUAGGGGUGCCAAUUACUCUGGUCCUGGUAUUAUUCCUUCCGGAAACUGCUUCUCUGGAGUCUCAGAUUCCAGUGGUGCUCUCUCUCUUCUGUCAAAUGAGUCAUGGGGCUCGAGGAACCAAUCCUCUAGCCUUGGGGUUAACGGUUUGUGUAACACUGAUGGCGGACAUACUGUUCAGCCAUCGAGUUCCCAUGCUGCUCCCAUCAAUCACUACUCAGGCCCUCUAUGGGGAUUUAAAGGAAAUGAAGCUAGUAGCAGUUCACAUGCAAUACUUCCUGAUCUCGGGCUGGGUCACAUUUCUCAACAUGCUGUCAAUCAGUACUCUGCUGAGCUUGGGAUGGUUCAGCACAGUGGAAGACAGUAUAUGGAACUGGAGCACUCAAAGGGUUAUGAUUCUUCUGUUCAGAAUGUUCACUGGACACUUUGAGUGCCAUCUCCUUCAUAUCUAUCUAUCAUCGUCGUAGGAAGACUAUGGUUAAUAAAUGGCAUCGUGUUUGUAAGGCUGGAUGUUGACUAAUGGCACUUUUUAUGAUGCUACCUUUGUGUAACUCUCCUAGACUCGAUCAAAAAUGACUGUGUGUGGUUAUUUUAUGAAUUGUGUGUACGGUUUAACUUCUUGUUGCUACCGUGUACUUUGCAUUUUUUUUAAAGCAGCUUAGUGUUUUCUUCCGUUGUCCCUUUCUUGAUAUACACAUCGAGGAGGGCAGUGUCCAUCUUACUAAGAGCAGAGAUAUUCCCGUGGAAGGAGGUGGUAAGAAAAUAUGUCAUUAGUUCGAACUAGAACUAAUUAAGAUGUUUAGGUGAUGGUAGCCUUGGAGCAACGGUGAAGUUGUCUCUGCUUAAUCAAUAGGUCAUAGGUUUGAGCAGUGGAAGCAUCCAUUAAUGCUUGCAUUAAGGUAAAUUUUCUACAUUAUCCUCCUAGGGGUCGGCCCUUCUCCGAAUUUUGCAGAAUAUGGGAUUGUUUGUGUACUGGGCUGCCCUUUAGGCGCUAGUAGGUGAAAUUGUUAAGGUGCUUUCUUCUGAUGUUAAUUUUUUAUUUUUUAUUUUGCUUAGAAGAGGUUUACAUUCUUCACUAUGGUAUGUGUAACAUGGGAGUUUUCUGUCCGCUGAAAGUGCUGCCCGCUGUGCGGCAGUCAAGUCCCCACUUGGCUUCAGCCUUGCCUGAUUUUCUUUCGCUUUCGAGGUUUAAAUUUAAGGCAACAUAUAAAAUAAAUGAAGGCACGCAAAUUUAUGGGAACCCUUUCCCAACCUUUUAUAAUGAAUCAAUUACAAAGGAAAUUCUCGAGUUUGGCAAGGUGCUGCCACCCUUGGCAAGCGCCAACUCACAAAAAUAGCGGACACUUGCACGUUUCUACCUAUAAAAGCCCCUGCCUAAGGCGUCUCGUGCUGCCCACUCGUUUAGCAAGGCAAUGACACAUAUUUUGCCAUGCUCAAGCCUUGACAUAGACAACCCUAUGCCUAUAUCUUAGACCAUUUCCCUCCCUAGGUACUUAGCUUGUUUUUGGGCUGCACAGACAGACACACACACACACAGUGUAGUCAGCCCAAAAUUGUUUCCUAGUUUCAGUUGACAUCCCUGAACUGAUAGGACAUGAUCCUCAUGAUCAAAACGUGCAUGUCAUGCCUAGAACAUGCUUCAACACCGUGCAAAGACUCAACCUUAUAAUCAGCAACUCUUGGACAUGGCAGUUGUAACCGCCCAACUGCAUAGCAUGUGCACAGCUGACUAGUUAAAACACCAGGAGUGGUCUGAUCCCCUAUUUGAUCAGACCGCUCUGAGAAAGAUAAAAAGCAAACUCUCAUAGUUCGGAGCCCAGCUCCAACAACUUCUUCGUAAGUGAGGUGAGGGGGGGCCGGCCUCUUUUCCGUACCAAUCCUUAUUUACUACUACAUCUUUUUUGGGGUGUAUAGCUCAGUUGGUAGAGCAUUGGGCUUUUAACCUAAUGGUCGCAGGUUCAAGUCCUGCUAUACCCAAACCUACCUUACACUCUACUAUGAAUAAGGAUGCAUAGUAGCCUUCAAAGAUGACUCUUUGGCCAGCACACGUGAAAACCGCUUCAUAUCCGCUGAUGUGCGCGUUUCUUGGCCAGCUGCUGCACGCCUAAGGCUGGCAUUGCGCCCAGCCUUGGCCUUUGACCCUGCUCCCGCUAAAUGCCAUCGCCACAGCUCGUCGCCCAUGACUUAGCUGCUCGCUCGUCCGCUGCCACAGUUGUUUGUCCUUGUCAAGUCGCCCCAACUUGAUCAAGUCUACCUUUUACCAAUGACAAGUUGAUUUUGGCAUCAAGUCACCAAACCAUGAUGUCAUUCCCAUUGCUAAGUCAUUUGCGCACAAGUAACAUAGGUGCCAGCUCGCUCACCUAAGUCAUGGCAACAUCAUAUUGCCAAUGCCACUGCCUUGGCACUAAGCUGCCCCAUUUUAGCGUCGAUGUCUUCCCAUUUAGCCUUGUCUAGUACAACCCGCCUAGUUCUGUCAAGGUCUUGGCAUUUGCUUGCACGCAGCCCACUCUUGAUUUGGUGUAGUCCGCCACACCUUAGCUCUCAAAUAGAAGUGUAGUCCAUCAUACUUUCCCUUGUAACAGUUUUUGCCAUUGACAAUACCUGCAUUGUCUUGUCGCGCAUAGGCCAAUGGCAGGGCUACCAUGCCAAAAUCCUUGCCACUGCCGUGCCUUCCGGUCAGCUUGUUAAGGGUCUGACAAACCACCCCAACCAGUUGAACUCGACGCCCUUGUCGAAUAGAUCCCGACAUAUGUUGUCAUUUGCAAAGACAUCACAAGUUCAGCACUCGUUUGAGAAUUACAUUGUCCUUGCCCUCAAGUGCAACAUUUUUUUGUUUUCUCAUUGCAUUUCCUGCAUGUCAUUCCCACAGCUAAUCCAGCACGCAACUGACUGAUUUGUAAGAACCCAAACUGAUUUUUGGCACCCACAAACUCGAAAUUCCUGCAUCACUGCCUUUACUUGCUUUUUCUGAAUUUCUAAGCUAAGACAAUCCCUUCCAUGAACAAGCAUAUUGACCCUUUGUCUUGCAGCCUUGUCCAUGGCCAUCUCGACCUCGUCAGGAAUAUGGCUCUGAUACCAAUUGUCACAGGGGUAUUUUCUGUCCGCCGAAAUUGCUGCCCGUUGUGCCGCCGUCAAAUCCCCACUUGGCUUCAGCCUUGCUCGAUUUUCUUUCGUAUUCGAGGUUUAAUACUUAGAAUAAAUUUAAGGCAACAUAAAAUAAAUGAAGGAACACAGAUUUACGGGAACCCUUUCCCAACCUUUUAUAAUUGGCAAGGUGCUGCCUCCCUUGACAGGCACCAACUCACGGUUAAACGAGAACACAAGCAUUUCAAGCAGCGAGCUAAACAAGAAAGUAACCUUCAUUAAGAAUGGCAAUGCAAACAUAUCAUACUCAAAGAUAGCCAAGAAAAGCACCAUUAGGAAGAAUCAUAUGCACUUAUUGGGAAGUCAAAAAAUAAAAUAAGAAAAUCAAGAGUAGGCAGUUUUACAUUUGCUUCCAGAAAAGAGUAUUCACUCAAGACAAACGUGGAACAUAAGUAUAUAAUAAAAAUCAAAACAAAUGACUUACAGGAGAGAUUUGACAUCUAUAAGCCAUAAGUAUUACAUGCGAUAUAUAAGAAGUCAGCAACCAGGAAACUACGCAUCUGGUAUUGCUAAUCACUAACCGUCCUAGAAUCAUUUUGCAAAGCACACCUAAGCCAACUCAGUUUUUGCAUAAAAUGGGUUAAAAGCAAAAGGGAACUGGAUGCUAGUUUCCAACAUAUCAUUUUGCUUAAAUCUUAAUUGCUUAUUUAAGAAAUCAUACGAAAAUGAUAUGGAAUAUAAUACCUCUUCAGUGAUCAGUUCUUCCUCUUCCUCUACCUCUUCCUUUUCUUCAUCCUCCUCUUCCUUUUUCUCCUCUACUACCUCCCUAUUCUCUAACUGAGCCAGUACUGCCUCAGCCUUGUGAAAAUUGCUGACGAUCCUCUUUUCCCUCCAUCGCUCCUUCAGGUGAGAUCCAAAAGUUUCCAUUAGCACUGCUUCUCUCCUUCUAUCCCUGUCGGCCUUCUCCAUUUCCCUCCUCAUCUUCUCUACCUUAUCAUCUUCCUUACCAAUCCCGGCACGGCCCCUUCUGAUUUCUAGCCCUACGGGUUCAGACAUACCCGAGCCUUCCUUGCCUAAUGCUGAUCCAGGAGUAUAUCCCAUUUGUUUCAACAUCUUGAAUCCAAUGUUGGUCUCAGGAAUUGCUGACUCUAAGUUAACUAGAGUUUUCUGGUCUUCUUCAGUCUGCUUCUUCUCUCUCUUGCGCUUUUUGCGUUCUUGCCAGUUUAACACCUUACGUCUCAGGAAUUGCUGACUCUAAGUUAACUAGAGUUUUCUGGUCCUCUUCAGUCUGCUUCUUCUCUCUCUUGAGCUUUUUGCGUUCUUGCCAGUUUAACACCUUACGUUUCUUGUUUGAAGAGUUUGAAACUACAGGCUUAUUUGAUCUUGAUGCCUGGAAACCAAAAGACACACGGAUUAGGGUCAGAGGCAACAACAUACCAUAUCAUCUAUUUGACACCAUUGUCAUAAUUUUAUAAUUCGUCCCACUGAAUUUAGACUCAAUUUUGCACUGAAAGUCUAACAAAAGAAAAAAAAAUCUAAACUGAUAAGAAUGGACCUUGGGCUUAACUCAACCCCAAAAGCUAGCUUAUGAGGUGAGGAUUGCUCAAGCCAUAUAAGGAGACCAAGGACCUCAAAUCCCUCCGAUGUGGGACAACUCAACAUAAACAAACAAUUUAACAGUCGGUCCAAAAUUAUGAUAAAAAGUCACUCGAGCCAUAGCUAGCCUAUGACAUUGCGAAAACCUUUGAUAAGCUAAACUGGACCUAGCUUAUAACAGUCCUCCGACAGAUGGGAUUUGGUGAGAAGUGGAUAAAAUGGAUAAAAUUCAGCAUAAUUAAGUAAAACAUUCAGUUUUGGUCGAUAGGGGUCCUGCGGAUUUUUUCUCUCCUCAAUAGGCUCUUAGACAGGGAGACCUCUAUCUCCCUUCCUUUUCACUUUGGCUAUAGAGGGACUCAGCAAAAUACUGCAAAAAGGCGAGGCAAAUGAAGCGUAUAGAAGGCUUCAAAGUGGGUCACAAUCCUAGCGACUCGAUAUCAGUCUCCCACUUGUUGUAUGCAAAUGAUACGCUCUGAAGGACAGAUAGGCACCAGGUGCUAAAUCUCAAUCACACACUGCUGCUCGUUGAAGCCAUUGUGGCUUACACAUCAAUAUGCUGGCAAGUACCUUCUAUCCAGUCAAAAAUGUCUCCAAUUUGGAAGAACUAGCUGAAACAAUGUGCUACGACAUUGGGGCAUUUCCUAUAACCUACCUGGGAUUGCCGCUUGGUGCAAAACUGAGAUCAGCUGAGAUCCGGAAUGGAGUUACUGAAAGGUUUGAAAGAAGAUUGGCAACCUGGAAAAUGCAAUACUUAUCAAUGGAAGGCGGGUUAACAGCAAUCAACAAUGUUUUUGACGGGAUACCAACAUAUUUUAUGUCUUUAUUCCCAUUCAAGGCAAGGUUCUGAAUAUCUUGAUAAAAUCAAGACAGUUUUAAGAAUGCAACAGCCAGAGCCACAAGUUCCACCUGGUAAAAUGGUAUUCACUCACUCAAACUAAACUUCAAGUGGUUUAGGCAUAAAGUUUUUUAGAAAUUCACAAGAAUCACAACAAAUGCAUACUAAUGAAAUGACUAUGGAGGUACAGCUCAGAGAAACCUGGACUUGGAAGGAUAUAAUCAGAGUAAAAUAAGGGGAGCUAAUCACUGGUACACAAAUCACCACAUGGAGUAGGCCUUUGGAAAAGUAUUUGCAAAUUUUGGAGAGAAUUCAAUCAACGUACAAGUCAUUAGCUUCUGGAAGGACAACUGGUUAGAAAACAUCAUCCUAAAGAAGGAAUUCCCCAACCUAUUUUGAUUUCUGUUGUUCCAAAUUCAAUAAUAGCUCAGAGCAGAUCAGGACUCGCCGUUCAGAAAAAUGUACAAGGUUGGGAACUUAAUGAUCCACUCAACUGCUUAAAUGGCCCUGGAAGCUACAAAGUUGCUCACAAAAGUGAUCUGUUUCAGUUGGACAGCCCUCAAAGAACCACGUCUGACACUAGAUAACCUCACAAGAAGGGAUUUUCAGCUUGUUAACAGAUGCUACAUGUUUCAGUUCAACUCAGAAACAUCAACCACCUACUUUUCCCUUGUCCUGUAGCAGCAAACCUGUGGAUCAUGUUUCACUUGACUAUUAUUUUUUUUUACUUUAGCUCGCUCAUGCCAUUCAGUGUUAAGGAUGCAUAUGAAAGCUGUAGCCUAGAGGGCAUGGAAAGUUGAUAAAACCUUUUUUUUUAUGAAGUAAAGUGUUGCAUUAAAGGCAUAAAGAAGGCGCAAAAAAAGUACAAACUGAAAAGUCUUGGCUAACUCCUGAGAAAAAAUAAAACCUAUGUAACUGGGUUAUCAAAAAAUAAUCAGGAAUAUCUGGAGAAUGGUUCCUGCUAGUUAUUUUUUGGCGUAUCUGGACAGAAAGGAAUUGUAGAAGUGUAGAUGGUAUCUCAACUCCAAAUCAUUUCUUGAGGACUAGGUGUUCUAAGAAUCAGUUUAGCUGGUGUAAACUCUCUUCUGUAAAUAGCAUGGACCAUUUUUUGGAUUUUGUAAGCUCCCUAGUCCUAGUCCAGUUCUCAUAUAUUGGAACUAGCAGAAUCACUUCUUUCACUUUUAGCCAUUGCUAACCUACAAAAACAAGGUUGUAAACAUUUCUAAAACAAGGUUAUACAUUGUUAUAUUACAUAUGCAAGUAAACAUUUCGAAACAAAUGUUAGAAAUAUGGAGACUCCAACCACACAAAGUGCUGAUAAGUCUGUGAAUAUUGGAAAUAUAGAGACUACAUGACUUGGAAGAAAAGGUAGCUAAGCUUUAAUUGCAGCACAUCAGAAAAUUAUACUUACUUGUUCUUUGCCAACCUAGAACCUAGAUUACUGAAUAUUGAAAAAAAGUAAAAGUUAACAAGCAAUUUUGAGAAUUAAACUAUUAAAUAACUAUAGUUCCAUGAGAUUUCGGAAAAUCUAGUCAAAAAAUAAUCUAGGGUUACUAGGUGUGAGGAGAACUGACCGGUUUAGAUGAGGGAUUAGGGGGAAUGGAAGAAACUUCUGGGGGAAUGAAAUGAGAAAGGUCUCCCAUGUAAUCUUCUUCCUCUUCCUCCGCCAUUGUUCCUAACUGCUGCAAGCUUCUGUGGGAACUAGCGCAAAUACGCGCUACGUUUUGAUUGAGGUCUAUGAGUACUACACUGGGAUUCGUGCGCAGAGGAUCGGAUCCUUAAAUUGUUGAAAUGGUCCUCAAAGUAUGUAUUUGUUUUAUUAUAGCCCUUUAUGUAUUUCCACACCGCUAUUUCUUUUAGGAAGUCCUAACAUCAUCCCAUCUUUACAUAAUAACUUGAACAAUUUUCAAAAUUUUAUUAAAUUCCAUGUUUAAUAAAUUUUCCUCUAGACUGUUGGAACAAGUUGUUUAUCUGCUAAAAAUAACUGAAUAGCAACCACAAUUUGAAAAGCAAAAAAAAAAUACUUGUAGAAUUGUGAGAAUCAUUUUGAAAUGAGAUAAUACAUAGAAGACCUGGAAAAACAUAUUUGUUAUUCAAACUAUUAUAUGAAAUAAUAAUUAAUUUAUUUACAUUUUUAGGAGAUUUAAGAGGGACAAGUUCUUAUCGAAGACCAUAAUUAUAGUGUUUAUAGAAGUUUUAGAACCAUUAUUAUUUAAGUAUAGAUCUUGGGUAAAAUACCCUUUUUAAUCCAAGUAAAUAAAAAAAAAUCCUAUCUCUAUAUGAAUGUCCAAUUUUCAAACUUAUUCUUUUUCGCUAAUUUUUUUGUAUUUCUUUUAUCAUAUUUAUAUUUAUUUCCGGCUUCAACAAAGUAGCAAAAUUAGGGGGUCAUUUGAUUAAUAAAUAGAUUAUAUAGUGAUGGUAAUACAAUGAUUAAUAGUGCAUGGAUCAUUAACACCGGGAUGUAAUGCAUAAAUUAUGUGUUAUUAUGCGUUUGGUUUUUUAAUUUAAAAUGAGAUAUAUAGGAUAAAAAGUUUAAUAUAUAUGUUUAAUUUUAAACUUAAUAAAAUAUAAAGAGCAUUGAUGAUGGGUUUGAGGAAAAUAUAAAGGAUAAUUUUAUAUUUUAGUGUUUAAUCCAAAAAUUGUUAUUCAUGCUAUAUUAGUAAUAAAUAAUAUAUUAAUUAGUGUAUUAAAGUUUAUUAAUCACAACAUUUAUUUGAACUAUACUGGGUACUUGUUGUUGUUGUUGUGUAUUAAAUUUUAUACUAGCUAUGCAGGAUUUAAAAGUACAAACACUGAGUAAAGUAAUAUCAAUACUUAUACCUUACUUAAUUCAUCUAAUAUGUCAAAAGGCAUCCAACUUAAAGUGAUUGUAGAAAUGCAUUUGGAAUAUCCGUCUUUCUGCUAAAUAUGGUGGAUUGAACUCAUAAUUUAUUAGAUGUUUUGCAAUUAAAUUUUAUCAGAUUUAAAUUUAUAAAAUAAUUUGGAUCAUAUUAAAUUCAAGAUAUUAGUCCAAAUAAAUAUUGUGAGUAAUAAAUUAGGCUAAUUAUUUAAAUCCAAUAGAUGUGUUUUGGGCUAGUCUAUUUAAUUGGACUACAAAUUAAAUGAUAAGUCUAACAGCUCUUAGCUCAUCUUAAAGCCCGGCCACAUGCCAAGUGUCGAGUGAUGUGGCAAUCUAAGUCAAGAAACGAGCAAAUAAAAUCAAGACACAUGUCAAAUGAUAUGGCAAUCCAAGAUACAUAAAAUGAGCCAAUGAAAUCAUCUCGUGUCAGGAAAGGGAUGGCAUACCAAGUCAAAUCAACAACCAAUAGAUUUGUGCCAAGUGGCUGGAUGGUAUUGGUUGGUUCAAACGGACCAAUUAAAUCGCAGCCACACCACUCCCUACAACUAUAAAUUGAGGUCUUCAUAAAGCUAGAAGACACCAGAAGUGAUAACAAGAAGCAAGUAGAGAGCUCGUGGAUGAAACACUCCAGAUUUCUCUACAAGCUACAAGUUCAAGCACUGAAGCACUCAAGUUACAAGUUCAAGAUCAAGAACGAAGCCAAAUCAAACACCGAGGCAUUCAAGAUCAAUUACUUGUUCUUGAUCAAACCCAAAUUCAAAUUCAAGGAGGAGAUUUCAAAGAUCAAGCUUUUACAAGCGCUUGAAUCAAAUCAAAGUUAAGCUCAUUAAGAUACUUUAUAUUCUUGAAGAAUCAGAGGAAUACCAUAGAGAUUGUAACACUUUCAUUUAUUGAAAUCAAAUACUACAUUUGUUAUGCAAUUUUCCAAUCAUAAUUAUUUAUUUUUCUCGACGCGAAAAUUUAUUGUUACAAAAUUCUUCCAUUGGUAUGCCAAGCUCUUUGACAGUACGAAUUGGGAGAAUAUUGACAUUAAAUCCAUCAUCGAUCAAGAUUCUACUUAUUCUCUGUUCUCGCACAAAGCCAACCAUAAAUAGGGGGCGAUUAUGGUAUGUUUCACCAAGUAAAAGAUCAAGCAGACACCUGGCAUAAUUUAACUGGCUCAUUUAUUUGUCUUGGAUUGCCACAUAACUUGACACAUGACAUGAUUUUAUUGGCUUAUUAAUUUGUCUUGGAUUGCCACCUACUACAUUUGUUACGUAAUUUUUCAGUCUUAAUUAUUUAUUUUUUCUCGAUGCGAAAAUUUAUUGUUACACCAUUGUUAAAACAAUGCAAUUGUGUUUCUUCCAUAAAUACUUGAAUAUUGCUACAGAUUAAUUAGAGUCACAAGAUUGUUCCAAAUUAAUGCACAAACGAUCUUAAAUCUUAUCGAGUGAAACCAUAGUAAGUCCGAAUUUGAUAGUAUCAUAAAUUUUACUCCUUUAGCAAUGUUUUCUCCAAAAGGGAAGGGAAAAAAGGAGAGAUGGGUGGGAAGGACGAUGAAAGAGCAUGAGAUAUGGACAAUUUUUUUUUGGGGGUUCCAUAUGAUGUUCGGUAUUUAUAGUGGAACCUGAUUAUAUCUCGAUUCAUGCCGCGUAAGGAAAUAAAUUUUAACAUUAUUAAUGUGGUUAAAUUGGUAAUAAUUUUUUACUUACCCUCUCUUUUAAGUUAUCAACGUACGCUUAUUAUAGACAGUUAUAAGUAUUUUAGGCAAGUGAUGCAAAGACAUUUUAUUAUCAAGCUUGACAUUUUAUAUUUCUCAGGUAAUCAUAUUUACUUGAGAAAGUUCAACUGAAUCGUGCUUGCCAAAAAUUUAUGCUAUAUAUAAAGGUAAAAAAUUAUUUCUACGUGUAUAAACAUAAAUAAUUGAAUCACCUUAACAUAAGUGAGAAUGCUUUUGAUGAAUUUUUAUCUCUGCUUACUAUCAAGUCACUCAAAUAUUGAUCACAAGUAAGGUAUUAUAAUAAAGGUAAUAAUGUGACACGAUCGGUUAAAAGUUUAAAAAAAAAUUACAGCAUCACUUUAUAGUUAAAAGAAAUUUCAUUUCCGGGCAGGUUAUAAGAAUUGAAGCCGUGGAAAAAGAAAAAAAGAAAAUCUUUCCCGCGCUCCUUUGAGGCAGCACAGCUUCUAUUAUAAUUUAUAACUAACUAAUUAACCGCUCAGCUUCUAUAACUCAACAGAGAGCAUCCUCUCCCUUUUGUUUCUCAAAAAAAUUCUUCUUUCUGGGUAUGUCUAGCUCUCUUCAAAUUCCUUACCCAUAAAUUUUUUUUUUGCAUGCUUCUAACAAACUAAAGUCUGAAUUUUUGGCCUUUUUUGGGGUUUUUGGUUUUGUAAUCUGGAUUUCCUGUCAAGCACGAAUGUUCUGUUUUUUAUUAAUGUAUGAGUAGUCUUGAAUUUCCCUUUCACUUGGACUACUGCUACUUCUUGAAUCUUUAGUAGUAUCUUUUUUUGUUUCUUGUGCUUAAUGAUUUUCUGAUGAUUGCAUUUCCUGUGAUUUGAAGUUAAGAGGAGAUCUCUGUGUAUGUUGUUGUGCACAAUGGCUAAGCAGAGAAAUCUGGGAUUGGCUACCGCUGCAAUUUUGCUUUUUGCGGUUCUAUUCUUUCAAGCUUUUGCCCGCACUGAUGACCUCCAAGGUAUUUUCUCUCAUUCAAAUAACUACAUUGUUUUGGGGUUUUCUAAUAUUUGCGUUUCUACUAUAGAGUUCCUAAUUUGGUGGUUGAAAGAUAGGGUUAAUGCUUGAUUUGGGCAGUUUUAGAAGUGAAUUGAGUUGGGAUUAGGAAAGUUUAUCUGAUUGUAGAAUUUUCAUUUUUGCAGUUCAAGCACUGAGAGAUUUGUACAGAGCUCUAAACAGCCCUACUGAACUUCAGAAUUGGAAAUUUGAGGGAGGUGAUCCUUGUGAAGAAUCAUGGACUGGAGUUUCUUGCUAUCAAUCAUCAGUAAUUGAAAUGUACUUUACUGAAAAUAAUUGAUUACUGUAUCUUUUUUCGCUAAAUUCAAACUCACCAACAAAUUAAGCCAAUUGAAUUGCCUGGUUCUGUGUUUCCUGCAGUAAACUUCAAGGGUUAAGUCUUACUGGUAAUCUUGGAGAUCAACUUGUUAGUCUAAAACACUUGAAACAUCUGUAAGUUAUUCCAUUUAGUGCCAUUUUAUAUACGAAAACAUAAAAAAUAUCGGGAUAUAACUCAUAGUUUCUGUUUGUGUAGAGAUCUUAGCUCUAACCAUUUUCAUGGCGAGAUACCAAAUAGCUUGCCACAUAAUCUCACAGACUUGUAAGAUGAAUAUCCUUGUGAAUUAGUGUUCCUAUUCAGAGCGUGAAAUUAGCUAUACACAGUCGUCAUCUCACGAACAAUGCUUCUUGUUUUGGUUGAUAUAGAAAUUUGGCAUGCAAUAACUUUACUCAAAGCAUUCCCGCUUCUGUGAGUUCAAUGAAACAUCUCAGGCACCUGUAAGCAGCUUCUUCUUUCUAUUAAUAUUUUUGUUAUUUGAUUCUCAGAGUCCUAACGAGUGUUCUUUUGUUGCAGAAAUAUGAGCCAGAACCUACUGUCUGGACCACUGGCAGAUGUCUUUGGGGGCUUGGACAAUCUUAUAAUGAUGUAUGAUAUAUAUAUUUCUUGUUCUUGAUUUCUUUUUCCUAGAUUUUAUUUGGAAGCAAACUGUGAUCUUCAAAAUGGAUUAUCUGCCUUCUGUAAUUGAAUGAGACACAGCUUCAACUUCAAGCCUUCAUUGCCAUAUUUAAUGUGUAGUGAGAUCUCUGCUCAAGAUUCAAGUUUGUAAUUAGUGCGGCAUAUCUUGAAUUCCAUUGUUUACACUAAUCUUUCAUUUAUCAAUAGAUGUCUCUCUCUAUAUGAUACUUCUGACUUUAGAAGGUGAUCAACCGAAAUAUGAGUUAGAAUACUUGCAUUAUGUAUGCAAAAUCAGGAGGUACUUUCUAUAAACAAAUAGAUGAGGUAAACAAAGGUGCAUAAGACAAUUCUGUAUAAGGUUAAAGUAGUGAAGAAAUUGACCUUGGCAAGAAAAUUUUACUACAGAAAUUUGUUUCAACAGGGAUCUGUCACACAACAAGUUCAGUGGAGAUCUACCUGCUUCAUUUCGAGCUCUGAAGAACCUUACAAAAUUGUAAGUUUUUUCACAUCUGAAAGCAUUUCUACCAGUUGCAAAUUCCAUUAGCAACAAUGAGGUACUUUUGGCAGGUAUCUUCAGAGCAAUGAAUUCACUGGAUCAGUAAUUUUUCUGGCUGACCUUCAUCUACAUGACCUGUGAGUUAUCAGUUUUGAUGAGUAUAUCUAUUGAAGUUUAAAUUCUCAGACACUCAAAUUGCUCAAUUGUGUCUAUUCCAGGAACAUUGAAGAUAAUCAUUUUAGUGGUGUUAUUCCUGGGAGCUUUCAAAAUAUAAACAACUUAUGGUAAACUAUCUGGAUUCAAAGUCUACUUGUUGGUAUAAUUUACCCUACUUGACGUUUGGCUUUGUGUCUUUCCCUAAUAAUCAGGAUUGGGGGUAAUCGGUUUCACAGUGGAGGAGCAGACUAGCUUCCCUGGAAGUUUCCUACUGAUGUUAUGCCCAAUAUUUCUAGUCCUCCAACAACAGAAUCAAGUGCCAUCGAGAAAUAUCCUUCUCAUGAAACAGGAGACAACAGAAAGAAAAGACCAGGCUCUGGAGGAAUAGUUAUUAUGGUUGUUGGAGCUGUACUGACUGUAUUUGGUGCAGCAGUCUUUAUCAAUUUUCGGAUUCGCCGAUCCCAAAAACAGACACUGGAUAGCAUAAGAGGCAGCAUAAGUUCAUUGCAGUCUCUUCCAAUCAGUGCACCCCAAGGUCAGAUAUAAUUCUUCAGAAACCCCUUCAUUUUACAGUUUAGAUGCCUUGUACUAUUUUAUGAAAUUAUAUCAUCAUGAAUUAGACAAGAGGAGUUGCUCUGAUGGUAAGCAAACCCCACUUCCAACCAAGAGAUUGUGAGUUCGAGUCUCACCAAGAGCAAGGUGGGAAGUUCUUGGAGGGAAGGAUGCUGGGGGUNNNNNNNNNNNNNNNNNNNNNNNNNNNNNNNNNNNNNNNNNNNNNNNNNNNNNNNNNNNNNNNNNNNNNNNNNNNNNNNNNNNNNNNNNNNNNNNNNNNNNNNNNNNNNNNNNNNNNNNNGAAUUCUGCGUACACACUACCCUCCCCAGACCCCACUAAGUGGGAUUAUACUGGGUUGUUGUUGUAUAUCAUCAUGAAUUAAAAUCUUGAUAAUGCUUAAUGCAUACGCCCAUGAUAAUGCACCCUUUUUCCUGUGAAAAUGAACCACAUUUCUUAUCGAUAUUUUCUCUGUUUGUACUUUUCAUUUACCAGUCACAACUGGUCCUUUAGCUGCUCAAUACGAUAGCCCAGAUUCCUCCAGCAGUGACUCUCCUCCAUUGAUUUCCUCAUGGCAAUUGCCACCUGCCCCGACCAUGACUCUGAAAAUGUCAAAGAGAAGAAGUUUCUCCAAGAAGUGCAAAAUCCCAAUAUGUGCCAAACACUAUACAGUGGCAGAGUUGCAGUUGGCCACAAGUAAUUUCAGGACAAUUUUUUUUUGGGGGUUCCAUAUGAUGUUCGGUAUUUAUAGUGGAACCUGAUUAUAUCUCGAUUCAUGCCGCGUAAGGAAAUAAAUUUUGGUAAUCUUCUUGGUGAAGGAACCCUUGGUUCUGUUUAUAGAGCAGAUUUCCCUGAUGGACAGGUAAUAUCCUAGCAGCGCCUUCCCACACUUAACCAAGAGAAUUUUUUACAAAGUUUUCUCACUCUUGUUACUUCUUGGUUGUGCAAGAUUCUGGCUGUCAAGAACAUUAAAACUGUAGCACUCUCCAUAACCGAGGAAGAACAAUUUAUGGAUGUGAUUCGAACUGCAUCCCGUUUGAGGCACCCUAAUAUAGUUGCACUUGUUGGCUAUUGUGUGGGGCAUGGCAACCACCUCCUUGUGUAUGAGUACAUAAGGAAUGUGACACUUGAUGAUGCCUUGCACAAUGUUCUGUGCAUACCUCUGACUUGGAGCCUCCGACUCCGAAUUUCCAUUGGCGUUGCUAGGGCAUUGAAGUAAGUAAACAAUACUAGCUUUCAUUGUCAAUUGUAAUUGUGACUGCAAAUACUGCAAGGUGGAUGAGGAUAAAUGUUUAAGUACUCUCCUGUUGUUCAUGGCUUUAAUCAUUCCACUUACAUUUUCAGCUACUUGGACACGUCCUGUGUCACUCCCAUCACCCAUAGCAAUCUAAAGGCUGCCAACAUCUUGCUUGAUGAAGAUCUUAACCCUCGUAUUUGUGAUUGUGGACUAGCUGUCCUAAGACCACUGGCCAGCAACAGUGUUAAAAUCAAGGUACCAUCUUUACACUUAUAACCUUUCUUCACUACUAGUAUUAUUAUUGAUGAUUAGCAAAGAACUGCUCAGAGAAAUGCUAAAGGUACCUUCUUUACUACUAGUAUUAUUAUUGAUGAUUAGUAAAGAACUGCUCAGAGAAAUGCUGAGUAAGCUAGAACUACAGCACAAGUUUGUCAACAUACUCACAACCAGUUACUGUCAUUUUUAUGGUGCAAGACAGGCUUCUGAGAUGGCUAUUGAAGAUAGUGGCUAUGUUGCGCCUGAGCAUGUCAAACGUGGAAGUGGUAACCCAAAGGCUGACAUCUAUUCCUUUGGUGUGCUGCUUCUUGAACUUUUAACUGGAAGGCGCCCUUUUGACAGGUUUCUUCCACUUGCCAACUUUCUCUCAACUUUGUCAAAAACCAUUAUUUGGUUGCUGAUGCUUCUUUUUUUUUCCUUUUUCUGUUACAAAUGCAGUUCAAAACCAAAAGGAGAGCAGUCACUGGUGGAAUGGGCUUCUUCCAAGCUUCAUGACAGUGAGUCUUUGUUGGACAUGGUUGAUCCAACCAUAAAGAGAACAAUUUCCUGCAGGGCGCUCUCAUCUUAUGCUGACAUCAUUUCCCAAUGCAUUCAGGUUUGUACAGUAGACCAUGCACACUACACCUGAGUGAUCUUCAUUAGACGACACUCUAAUGAGACUGAUAAUUUCUAAAAGCUUUUCAGAUAAAGGUUUCAAAUUAAGAGAACGAUUUCCUCCAGGGCUCUCUCAUCUUAUGCUGACAUCAUUUCUCAAUGCAUUCAGGUUUGUACAGUACAUCAUUAGAAGACUACUCUAAUGAAACUAUGAUAAUUUCUAAAAGCUUUUCAGAUAAAGGUUUCAGCUGACAACUAUCCUUAACUUUUGUGUCUGUUGCUGAAAAAUAUGAGCAGCCAGAGAAGGAAUUCCGUCCCCAAAUGGCUGAAGUUGUGCAGUCAUUAGUGUCAGUGUUACAGAAGUAUGGACCAGAAAAGGCAAAGUCUGGAAAAGAUAAAGCCACAGCAGAAGGCAAUGAGGUUGACCCCUUUGAGCGAUCCUUUCGUUCAACCAACAGCCGCUUUUUUGCCUCACCAACUGCAAGCUACUACUCCAUCUGAUUAUCCUCUGCAAUGUGCUGAAUACCACUUUGUAUAGUUCUUUUCAUGCUAAGGACUUCUUCACAACCCAUUUCCAUUUUUUAUGUUAACCUGAUUUUGUAGCUCCAGUUCUAGUUUAGACCUACAAUACAAUUGUAGCAUCAGCAUGGAUGAUUGUUAAAGUUGCAAUGCUUGUAUAGCCUCUAUAGAGUUUAAUGCAUACAUUGAUUUUUCGAGAGAGUGCAUCCUCUUAUCUUGCUUUUACCAGGUUCUAGGAUUGUUUGCUAGAUUUAUUUUCACCAAAAGAAGAUCUAAGUGGUGUAAAGUCUUCCUAUCGGUUAGCUAACUCGUUGUUUAUCUUUCUACUGUGGAAAUAUAUAGCAUUUCGAAAUACCAACAAAUUUUACAUCAUACUAUGAACUCAGAUUCAACUGUUUCGCAGCCAAUAAAGAAAAUUGACUAGGCGGUACUUCAACUAAAAAGUUACAUACUUUAUACUUAAGAACAAUAGAAAGCGAUCGAGGAAUAAGAAGAUAUGGGAGUGUUCUUGUAUAAAAGAAGUCUCUUCCACAUUAUCUUUUGAAAACUAUAUGUAACAGUUUGGUAGUGAUGCUUUGGAGGUCAGGUCUAUGCCCCCCUCCUCUCUUUGUACUCUGCAACUUUUGUAAUGGACAAGGUAGGGGUCAAGCCAAACCCCCCACAUCAACAGCAUUCGCCUUGAUGAUGACAUAACAUAUAAAAAAAAGGAAUAAGAACAUUAAGAGCCCUUAUUUUAUAGUAUUCCACCCAAUUGACAAACGAAUCCAGUGCCAUCAAAGGUGAAAAUCAGAAGAAAAAAAAACAUUAUGAAGUUAAUUGAGGAUUUUAAGUGCAAAGCACAAAUAAAGAAAGGCGCAAUUAAAGGAAAAGGAAAAGGAAAACAUUCAUGUAGUUCAGUUAUGAUAAACUAUAAACCCAGACAACAGUUAUCUUAACUGAUAAAUUUAAAUACUAUAAUUAGAUGAAAUAUUGUUUGCUUGCUGUCGUUCUUUUCAAAACAAAACAAUAAGCGACAGUGAGGCGUGUCUUUGCGCCUUGGUGCUAGCAUUGAAGCAUCGAUUAAGCAAAGAAGAAGUGCUCAGCCUAUUAUGCACCUAGCUCUAGUCCUUGAACGAACCUCAACCAAACCUUUGACAGCACAAAACUAAUAUCAGUUGCUAGGAUAACAUUCCACGCUUAUGAAAUAGAAGUUUGGGCAUGAAAUAGAAUUAGGAUAAUUAGCACAAUUGCAUUCCAUGCGAGCAAAACUAAGUUAUUUUUUCAUGUCUUGUCAUUCGGGAAAGAGGGGGUGUGAAGCAGUGUCAAAACAAAAUACCCUGUGGUUUGCUAAAGUCAGGUUCAACUGUAACUUCUACAGUAUCAACAACAAUUAGAGUUACAUGAUGUAUAAGAGUUGCUCUAGCCUUCUAACACUAGCUACUUAUUAACAAUGUAUUAAUCUCUCCUAUGAUGUUGACAGGCCGUCCGUCAAACAUGGAUGAAAGUGUACUCUCACAAAGUUUCUUCAGUUCCCUGGUCUUCGCAAUAGCUGCUUCCUGCAUAAGAAAAAAACCAAAUUUCAAGAAAAAGAUGGCGAAUGCAAGAGACAAAGAGUAGGCACGGGACUUUUGAUAUGCUUUACUUCACCACAUUUUUAUUUCCUUUCGGAGAUAUGAAUAGGUAGUAGAGAGGUAAUUUCAAAAGGCACUGAUAGUGGUGCUCUUUUUCUUCUUGGGGGGAGGAUAACUAUUCGAAAAAAUGUAUUGCAAAGCCACCAUGCAUAUCUAGUAUAAACUUACAGCAUUGUGAAGUUCAGAAGAUCUGUAAGAAUAACUGUGCUUGACAACAAAAGCACAGGAAAAGUCGAAGUCUAAAACACACUUAUGUACACAAGGUUCCAUAAUUCACUUGGCCACUUGUCAGGGAUCGUAAAUAUUUGAAAAUCAGAGAAAGCAUGUUAUGAAAUUAUGAGAAUAUUUCUACUUUUUGGUAUACUUCUUGUAUCCGGGCAUUUUUAUGCCCGCACUUCAAAUACAAUUAUUAUUUUAUCCAAAAUAAUGAAAUUAUGAGAACAUAACUAAUACUUUAAUCUCAAGGUAGCUACUAAUCUUACUUUAACUCAAAGUAGCUAAUCUCACAUUUUUGCAAUUACUGCAAAUUACAUUAAACAAAACAGGAAGGGAAGUAAUAUAAGAAACUCACUUGUUUUGGCCAAGAUGAAGACAUCGAGUUCUGAAGUUCCAUACGCCUAGCAGACAAGUCCUUUAAUCCGUCCUUUAACUUGGCUUCCUGACGCUUUUUCUCCUCCAAAGUAUUGACCAACCGAUCCAAAAAUCUGGAAUUAGGAUUAAUACAGCAGUCAGCAUGCAAUUUUAAGACAAAUAGUUAAGUCUGCAGUCCAUAAACUUCAUAGAAUAAUGAUAUAGUAUUACUGUCCGGCAACCAUCUCUCAUCAUGAUGACCAUCAUGCAAUUUUAACACAAAUAGUUAAGUCUGCAGUCCACAAACAACAACAAUAACCCAGUAUAAUCCCACUUAGUGGGGUCUGGGGAGGGUAGUGUGUACGCAUUUGGGGCUCUUCAAUUAAGUAGGAUUGUCCUUUUAUUUUAGAGACAAAACAACAACAACCACCCAGUAUAAUCCCACUUAAUGGGGACUGGGGAGAGUAGUGUGUACGCAGACCUUACCCCUACCCUUGAGUAGAGAGGUUGUUUCCAAAUAGACCCCUAGCAUCCUUCCCUCCAAGAACUUCCCACCUUGCUCUUGGGAAGACUCGACCUCACAACCUCUCGGUUGGAAGUGGGGGUUGCUUACCAUCAUAGCAUCCCAUCUGCAGUCCACAAACUUCAUAGAAUAAUGAUCUAGUAUUAGUGUGCGGCAACCAUCUCAUCAUGAUGACAACAGAAGUGAGCUAUUACUCUAUCAAAAGUUGAAUGCCAUAAACUUCAAGAGUGAAUAAAUUACUAAACUAAUAAAGUUUAUGUAUACUUAGCAGUUUAAAACAAAAGAUAUAUUGGGAGCAUGCAGAUUCAAGAACUUUGCAUGUCAUAACUCAUAAAUAUCUGAAAAAGGAAGAAAAUAUACUAUUUAACUUGCAAAAGGAAACAAAUUUCAUGGAAGCCAUAACUAAUCAGUACCUUUUGGAGUUGAGGAUCAUGAUCAUGUCCCUUGUUUUCCUAUUUGUAAGCAAUGAAAUGGCUGAGGAAACGUCAGAUAGCAUUGUCUGAAUUAUAUCAGAAGAGUACUGCUGCAGAACAAGCGGAGCAACUGCUUGGACUUGAUGUUGUAAAGACGUAGUUUCUUCGUUACUUAGCUCAAUCAACCGUUGAUUCAAGAAUGCUUUCACCUGAUGGCCAAGCAUCAAACAAUAGAUGUCAGAAUCUGUCAAACCCACCAGGCAAAACGACUCAACGAAGACAUUGAAAGUCCAAAUUGACGACAACCUAAUCAAGCGGCCUCAAUAAUAGAGCCUAUUUCCAGCACAAAAGUUGAUAAACUAGUGCCAAACAAAGAAAAAUUGUCUAAAGAUACUAGUCAAAUAAAAAUCAUACAGACCUCAAAUAAGUCAUCAAGUAUCUUAUUCCUGUACUCUGUCUCUAGUAGAGGACUCCUCUCUGCAGUUAAAUUGUUUUGAAGAGAUCGUAGUUCCACAGCAUUAUUUUGUGAACUGUCUUCUUCAAUCACAUCAACUAGAGGAUUGUCAACACUUAUAUCCCAAGAUAUUUCUGAUGCAGAGACCUCAGGAGCUGAGAACCCUUCUUCCUUUGAGGUCUGAUGAGAUUCUACACUGUCAUUAUGAGGAGAUGGCAAAAUAUCGCUUGCAUUAACAAUCUCAUAGGGACCCAAACCAUUUCCAUUUUCUUCUGUUUCUUCCACAGUGCCAAUGUCCCAAUCAAUUUGAGAGCUAUCUAAAGUAAUAUCCCAGUCAAUCCCAUCAGCUGCGAUAUCACUUUCUACAGUCAUUUGACCUAAAUCAUUAUAUCUUCCUUGAGCUUUCAUAACCUCCAAUACUUCAGAGCUAAUGGAAACAUCAGUCGAAGGGGGACUUUCACGAACACUCCUCAGAUUUGGUAACAUAACAGCAGCGACUUUCUGCAACCAGAACAAACAACUUAAGUAAUCCAUGCUACACCAAACACUGAUGCUACACUAACAACAGAUAUAGGGAAAGAAAGUCACAAAGUUCGUCGCCUACAUCCUUUACAGUAUGAGCAUCUUUGACGAAAUCUGAGUAAAACUCAGUAGCCCGUGAGACAGAAUCACCAUUAAGUACUUCCAAGAUUCUGCUAAAUGUGGUUGGAAGAGAUUUAGUGGCAGUUUCUAGAAGUUCUGACCUCACAUUUAUUCCCUGAAUACAAGAGAAAAGUCAAGUAUAUUAUAAAUGGAAAGAAAAAUGAAUAAAAAGGCUAAUCCAAUGGUAACAGAGUCAAGCAAGCUAAAACCUGCAGGCCCAGCUCCUGACAAGCCUCUACAUAUUUAGACGCCGAAACAGCUGCAUUUCUUUUUAUAUCAGUUUCUUUGCGCUCCAAUUCAGCUAGUUGCUGCUGUGUCUUCUGAAUCUGCUUCUUUUGAUAGGGGCUACAAAAUAAUGAUAGAGCUCUUAGACAUCUUGACAGAAAAUUACUACAGUCAAAUCAUAGCUUAAUUUGUUUUGCUAGUAGUGUGAUAAAGUUAGUAAAUUUACAUCUCAUAGUUAACAUUUUGGACCAUAGUCUGAGCAGCUUCACCAAGGAAAAUGUAUUCCUUCUCAUAGGCACGCACUAUUGCUUCCCAAACACCCUGACAGGAGUCAAAAUAAGAUCACGUUAUAUUGGAAACAAACACACAUAUACAUAUCGAGAGACAGAGAGAUUAGGUCUUACAGCGUCACCUGAAAGCCGACCAAAAAUAUUACGGCUUUCUGGAGUUGACUUAAGAAGAAUCUCAUAUAUUUUUUUGGCUUCCAAAUAACCGAUCCCUGAAAGUUAAAGUUCAACCAGUAUACUUUUGUGCUCAGCAAAUGUGGAGUGUAGAAAAUAUCUUCAUUGGAACCACAGAGAACUGAUGAUGCAACCAAAAUGUCACUCAAUGGUAUGUCAGCAGCAGAAAUUUCCACCAAUUUUUAUUGUUGGUUUUUUAUUUCCUCGGACAAGUGAAAUUUCCAUCAAAUUAUACCAAUUUUCUUUUAAAUUAUACUAGUUAGUAGUUACACCUUGUUUGGAUGGUUGUUAUCUAUUGUUUUGUAUCGUAUUGUUACUUUAUACACAAUGUUUGCUUUGAUUGUUACUUAAAUUUUAUCGUAUCAUAUAACGACAAAAAGUGUCACUUUAAGUAACGACCAAUUUGGUGUGCUCACACCGUUACCUUGCUUUUCCUCUCAUCUUGCCCUUUCUUAUUAUUAAAUAGUUCUUUUAUCUUUUACCCCUUUUUUUAUAAUACUUUUAACUCGUACCCUACUUUUCUGGUGAUAUUGCAAGUUUUUUCUUUUUUCUUUAUAUUUGUUGGUGCGUGAUAUCAUGAAAUAAUGACAAACAAUACAAUAUAUCCAAACGUUGUAUUCAUUAAAACAAUACAGUACAAUUUAAAAUAAUAGGAUACAAUCAAUUCCAGAAGUACGAAACAAUAUGUAAGAACCAUCCAAACAAGUCGUUAGGCCCAUGAAAGGAGCAUAAAAGGUCAGAAAGUGAAUGGCAAACAUACUUCAAAUAUCAUCCUCUACCUGGUUUUAAUAACAAAAAAGAAUAUAAGAAAAGAUUAUCGGUUCUUAACUAACAGAAAGAUGUAUGCCUAUCCAAAACUGCUAAGUAACAUUUUUACGGUUCCUCUUUUUCUUUUUCUUUUUUUGAUUUAUUUACUAAUUGCUAGCAUUUUUGAAGGGGAACCUUGGAGCAAGGCUAAAGUUGUCUUUAUGUGAUCUAUAGGUCACGGAUUCGAGCCGUGGAAGAAACCACUAAUACUUGCAUUACGGUAGGCUGUUAACAUCACACCCCUAGGAGUGCGGCCCUUUCCGGGACUCUACGAAAUGCUUUGUGCACCAGGCUGCCCUUUAAUUAUUAGCAUUUUGCCAGUUCUUAACAAAAUAAUCAGCAAAUACACUUUCAUUUCCCAUUGUAUUUUCAGUUUCUCAAAGAAUUAAUAUAGCCUGCUGCUGCUUCUUCAAAAACAAAAGAAAAGGAGCCAACAUAGCCUAUUCUUAUUAAUGUUAUACAAAAGGUCAAACAAAAAAAAAAUCUUGGCUUUAACUCUAAUUCUAAAAUGGUUCAGCCAGUUUACAACUUAGUAUGGCACUACACUAAUAACACAAAACUAACAGUAGCUGAUACUCCCUCCAUCCCAAUUUAUGUGAGGUGUUUGGAGUUUAAGAAAGAAAGAAAGACUUAUGAAACUUAUAGUCUAAAACAAGUUAGACACAUUUGUUUGCUCGUUAAGGGUAAAAUGAGAAGUUUAAGGUAAACUGCUUCUAAAUGUAGAAAGGUACUGUUCUUUUGGGAUAGAUUAAAAAGGAAAAAGUAUCAAAUAAUUUGGGACAGGGGUAGAGAACUAUUUCGAGGUCCAGCAAGGCAGCAACUAGGUCACGAGAAUGAGCACACUUGAUUAUUAUCAAAUUCUAGGGCUUAAAAGCAUAAAUUUUUACAAGCCUGAAUUGUUACAGCAUAAAAUUCAUGGGAAAAGGAAGAAUUUUUACAGCUAAAUAAAAACAAAGAAACCACAAAAGGAAAAGAAGUGAAAAAUACCUUCAACAUCAAGAGUGUGAAAGUAAGGAUCAAUGUCUUUAGGCAGCGACGCAAAUGACGUCGUAAUCUUAGCUCUCACAGCCGCAAGUCGCUUCCGCCAAUCCGUCGGAAUUCUCUUCCGAUCAGCCAACCAUUCUUCAAUCCGAUAAUCAAAUUCAUCAGAAAAAUGAUUGACAGGAGAAAAAUAAAUAAGCAAUUUAGAAUUUUAUUUAUUUGUUAGUUGAUUUUUUUACCUCCGAGGCGAGCGAAUGCUAUGUCGAUUGGAAGAUUACGAAUAUCGUCUUGGCUCUGCAUUUCUCCAGAAAAUAUUCACUGCUUGAUCUUUUUUUCUUAGGGAAUUGCCGGAGAUCGCCGGAGUUUCACAGUGAUAGUAAAGAAAUGGGUCUCUAUAUGCUAACGUGCGCCAUGGAGUAAUGGAGUUGUCAACUCUUAGCUGCAGUGAAAGCAAUGGGUUGGGUAAUAAUCAUGGGCCAAAACAAAGCCCAACAUAAAAGGUUAUUUCGGGCCUUACAGUUUUGGGCGGGAGAAAUUAAAAAAAAGUUAUAUUUAUAACUGCUCAUUAAAAAAUAGCUCACUUAUAAAAGUAAUCGAAAUUUAGUCACUUUUCAUGUAAAGAUAAAUUUGAAUGAAAAUACUUUUCAAAAUCAGGAAAAUACGCCCGCAUAUUAUACGGGAGUUCCAACAUAAGUAUACUUGAACUCCAGCAUAUUAGACGGGAGCUCCCGUAUAAUAUGCGGGAGUUCAAGAAUAAUUAUGCUGGAACUCCCGCAUAAUAUACUGGAGUUCCAACAAGUAUAAAUAUUAUUAUAACAUAUUGGAUUUUUAAGCACCGGUGCUCCAGUCUCCCGUAUAUUAUACAGGAGUCAACAAAGUAUACCGGUCUAGCAUAUAUAAAUGCACCGAACUCCCGUAUAUUAUACGGGAUCGGUCUCUGUUGCAACAAAAUAGUGGCUAUUUUUCAUUACCUUGGUAAACGCUGGCUAUUUUUGAUUGACCAAUGCGAAAACUGGCUAUACCGUGGUAUUUUGACGUUUUGUGCGUUAAAAGUAAAAAUUGCACGGGGCGCCCUAUUUGGUCGCCCCUAUUUAACUUAUACUCAUUUUUAAAAAACUUUUAAUUUGUACCCAAUUUUUAAACAAUUUCAGCUCACUUUCUCCGCCUCCUUCUCCUCCUUCAUUUUUUUUUCUUCUUACAAUGAUGACAUAAACAUUGCUCUGUUUCUUCAGUCUUAGAUAAGAAACUUCAUGCAUCUUAAAUUUGUAAAGCCAUGUCACUUAACAAUCUUAGAGGUUUUUAAUAGCUUUUCGUUCGGUUAAGGAGUAUUAAAUUGACUUAUGGGGUCAUUCCAUUGUUUCAUUUAAGGGUGUGUUGGUGUGAGCACGAGUGUUAACGUCGGAAGAGUAAAUCAGUUAAAUAAAAUUAGUAGAAGCUUUAGAAAGGACAUGCUUAACUUAACACAAGAAAUGGGAAAUGAUAAGAAAAUCUUUAGAUGACCUUUUAGGAACGAGGGCUCGAGAGUUGAAGUUUUUCAGUUACAACAUAAAAACUUCAACUCUAAAGCUGACAACACAAAAAUUAUAACACUAAAAUUUCAGUACUAGAGUUAAAGUUCGCCAGUUACAAAAUAAAAACUUCAUCUCUAGAGCAGAACUUCAGCCCCGGCUAUUAGAAUGCUGAAGUUUUGCAUGAUUGCCUUUGCUACUUCAGCCCCGUGUGCUGAAGUUAUGCAAAAAAGCGGGUAUGCUUGCUAUUUUUUUUGCAAAACAGGCACAAGUUAAAAUGUGACACAAAAAGCGGGUAUAUAUGCAAAUGCCUCGCGUUAAGACAGUAAAAAUAGCACCGUAUAGCCAUUUUUCGGAUUGGUCAUUCAAAAAUAGCAUGUGUUUACGAAGUCAAUGAAAUAUAGCCACUAUUUUGCUAUAUCAGAGAUCGGUCCAGCAUAAUAUACUGGAGUUCAGUGCACCUAUAUAUGACUCCAGCAUAUUAUGUUGGACCGAUAUACUUGCUAACUCCAGUAUAAUAUACUGGAGACUGGAGCACUGAUGCUCCAAACUCCAGUAUAUUAUACUGGACAAUUAUACUUGCUAGAACUCCAGUAUAUUAUGCCGGAACUCCAUUAUAUUAUGCUAGAGUUCCAGCAUAAUUAUCCUAGAACUCCAGUAUAAUAUGCUUGAGUUCAAGCAUACUUAUGUUGGAGCUCCAGUAUAAUAUACUAGCGUAUUUUUGGAUUUUGAAUAAUGUUUUCGCUCAGAUUUAUCUUUACAUGAAAAGUGACUAAAUUUCUAUUACUUUUCAAACUGAGCUAUUUUUGAUCGACCAGUUGUAAAUCUGGCUAUUUUUAAAUUUUUCCUACUAAGACAAUAGUAAAAAUACCACGGGAUGGUCAGUUUUCGAAUUGGUCACUCAAAAAUAGUCAGUGUUUGCCAAGUCAUUGAAAAAUAACCACUAUUUUGCUGCAAUAAUGAGCGGUCCAGCAUAAUAUACUGGAGUCGGUGUACCUAUGUAUGAACUUCCAGCAUAUUAUGCUGGAACUUCAACACACGGAAAGUUCCAGCAUAAUAUACUGGAGAUUCGAGCGAUUGUGUAUGAACUUCCAGUAUAUUAUAUUGGACCAGUAUACUUUGCUUGAACUCCAGUAUAUUAUGUUGGAGUUCUAGUGUACUUAUGCUGGAACUCCAACAUAAUAUACUGACGUAUUUUUCGAGUUUUAAUUAAUAUCUUCGCUAAGAUUUAUCUUUACAUGAAAAGUAACUAAAUUUUGAUUACUUUUGAAAGCGUAACUAUUUUUGAAUGACCACUUAUAAAUCUGACUAUUUUUAAAUUUCUCCCGUAAAAAUUGCAUGGGGUAGCCUAUUUAGAUGCUCCGAUUUAACCUAUAAUCAAUUUUCUAAAUUAUUUAUGGUAUUCAAGGUAGCAAAUUUCAGACAGAACUUUCCUCCUCCAUUACCACCACUACAAUGUUAUGCCAAUAUCCCCAGAUACAUAUUCAAAAUCAAAAUACUCACACCAUUUAAAAACCUAAAUAUCCAUAAAUAAAUUGGCUUCAUUCAGUUACAAUAGUUGUUUGCUCCUUGUUUCUUGAUUUUGUGCCUUUCGGGUGUAAUGUAAUUCGUCCAAAACGGUGAAUAAGUUGUAUUUGUAUUAGGAAGAAACUACUGAAACUCUUUGACUUAAAUAAAUUUAACAGACUUUUUGCUCAAAAUUUUGUAUUUAUCUUAAAAUAUUUAAUUAAUAUAAAAAAUUAUCAAUUAAAAAUUUAAUUACUCAAAAGGACUAAAGUCCUGAAUUUAUACACUUCAAAUUCUGAAUUAAUCUGUAAAAUCACCAUUGUUGCAAGCUUGAAGAAGUGGAUCUUGAAUUUUGAAUCUAAAAAGUGAGUUUAAAUUUAGUUGGUGUUGUUGAAAAAACUUGAAAAUAAUGGCAAGUAUGAAGGUUGAUAGUUCAAACUUGAGAAAAACUACUCUCAUUUUGAACAUGUAUGUCUGAAACUUUAGACAUACAUACAUGUUUUAACUAUGAAAAUUCUAAGCUUAAUUUUAGUCAUAUAUCUUGAAAGUUUGGAUGCAUAUAUUGGAAGUUUAGCCUUGGCAAACCAACUUUGAAUGAGUCGGAAAUUUGGCCUUGACAAGUCAAAUUUCAUAUGCGAUACACAAUUUUGCCCUCAUAUUUUUAAAUAGUAUAUAUACUUUCAAAAUAUCAUUUUGUAUCAUUACUUUGUCUUCAAGAGUCAUAUGAACAUUUUCUAUAAUUCUCUAUAAUUUUUAGAAAUUAAUUUUUCUUGAAUUUAAAUUGCUUGAGUAUUUAUUAAUUAUCUCUUAUUUUAUGAUGACCUAAUCAUUCAAAAUUAUUAUUUUCAUCCUCAUAUAUGUUUUAUAAUAUUUUUACUUUAUUUAUAUAAUUAUAUUAUAUUUUAGGCUAUUUAUAUAAUUUUGCAAUAAUAGCCUAUACGCUAUGCACAAUUACAUUUAUUACAUUAUUCAUGCUAAAAUAGCAUUUUUUAAAUAUUUAUAAUAUUAAGUUAUUAUUUUCAAUUAUUUUAUUAUACAAGUAAUAUUUUAUUAUAUAUUAAAUAGUUUUAUAAUUAUUUUAUAAAUAAUUUUUGUGUAUUUAAUUUGUACCCCGAAUUAUAUCAAUUUUGGACCACAUUAGUGGCCCAAACUCCUCAAAUCCAUGGCCCAAUUUCACCAUCGCAAGCCAAACGACCCCUUAAUCUCAAACCCGUUCGAUACCCAUUUAAACGACCCAUCCCACUCCCUUUUCGAUCCUUUGAGAUCAAUGACUCAUAAUAAACCUACCUUCUCCUUAUAUCCUCCUAACCCAAACCUUAGAUCAAUUUGUCAUUUCCGUCGCCUUCAAACCCUCCCUCUCAUCUUUCAAACCUAAACCCCAGCCGCCUCACUCAAAUCCUUUUCAAGUCCAAUAUUACAUGAAAAUCAUCCAUGACUCCUUUCCUUUCUUGCACACACGAAGAUACUUAUCAUCUUCUAAAUAUUUGUAUUGGGACUCGAUUAUUUAUGGAAGCUCAUUGGUGUUCGUUUAACUCCGAUUCUAUAUUAUCUUCAUGUUUCUGACCUUAUACAUUCACUGUCAGGCCUCAUGGCUUAAAUUUCGGUGAGAUUUUUUUGCCAUUUUGGUUCUUCAUCUAAACUAGGUUUUUCUGGAUUUGCCCCAAAACUGAUUCUAAUUGAUUUUGCAUGCUAUAUUUUUUAUUUGUCUUUAAUCUAUUGUAUUUCCUUAUUUUUUGUAUUGAUCUUUACUACUAUAUAAACCCCCCCUUAAUCUUUUUUAAGAGACCUUAAUCACUAUUAUUCUCUCACCUCACUUGUUAUUCUGAAACUUGAAACCUUGACCGACUUAAAAAGCCAAGGCCGUAGAAUUCGGCAGUGUUCUCUUCUCAGUGCAAGCACUGCUCGGAGUUCACUUGAAACCCUUGGGAUCUCUGACGCUCUAGGAUUUUGGUACUCUACUAUUAAUUGAAUCACUGCUAGAAAUUGCUCUUUUCUUUGCUUGUUCGUUAAUUGGUAACUGUAAGUACCUUUGACUCUCGCAAUUUCAUUUUCUGUGCGUGUGUUCAUGUUCUGUAUAUCUAUUUCACGUAACCUUCAUUGAACUAAUAGGCUACUAUGUUUAUGGUCCUCUUUGCUUUGAAGUUAUCCUAUAGCCUUAUGUUUCCUAUUAUCAGAACUUGCCUAAAGCUCUAAGUUUUGAUGUAUGCCCAUGACCUCUGACUAUCUUGAGCCUGCUUAGCUUAUUGUAUUUGCGUAUGGUUGAAUGUUAUUCUGUUGCUUGUCAAGAGUUCAUCUCCCUGCUUGUUUUAUAUUCUUGUGAUAGAUUAAUUCAUACCUAAUGUAUCGUUUCCUAUUGAGUUAUUCCUGUACCACUUGUUAACUUCCUUGUGAUUGAUCUAUGCUUGUGUAAUUUCUAAAUGCCAGUAUUUCCUAAACUUCUAAACUAGCAUGACAUAUUUUCUUGCUAUUUGUAAAUUUUAGGGUAUGCUCUGUGACUUGUUUAAUGCUUUGUUCUUAAAAUAGUGCUUAAGACUCCCAUGCAUAACUUUUAUUUUAUAUAUGGUUAACUGGCAUAAGUCUUGAUGCCUACCUAUCUUGUUAAUCUUGGUAAUGUUUCUGAACCUUCGUAUUAAUGAUGGAUGCCCAACAUGCUAAGUUUUCCCAUGUGAUUUCUUGUCAACCAUUUUAGACUAUGCCCACUAGCCUAUUUUUCAUUCUCCCUAGGCUCUCAUGUUAGAAUUUCUAUGUGCAGACUGUUAUUUCACUUGUUCCUAUCCUUGAUUUUGCUAGACCUUCAUGUAAAACUCUUAUAUCUAAAGUCCUUUAGGCUAAUGUUGAAUCAUGUUUUGUUUUGACACUCUCUUUGUAAUGAUUCAUUAUCCUAUAACGGUCAAUUAUGUCGCUCUUAAACUUUCUUUCUGGGAUUACAAGUCUCAACUUGCCUCAUAUGUAUCUUUUGUGCCUUCAAUCUAGCCUAGUCCUGUUUAUAUGUCUUAACUAGAGAUGAUGUUAGCUAUAUCUUUAAGAAUUAAGUGUCUAAGAUAUCUUGUUAAAUUUUAUAAAUAAUUUGUCACUUGCAUGGCUUGGCAUCCAUUUAGGUAAAGUAAGGCCUCUUUUGUUUGCACUUGAUGGAAGGUUGAAUCAUAAUCAUUCAGAUUUCAGACAUUAAGUGCGUUUGUUUUUAAAGUCUGAAUCUUAAUUAUUCAGAUCUUAAUCAUUAAGUGUGUUCGUUUUUUUUACUUCACAACCACUUAAUGUGUUUGAAUUGGUCUGUAUGAUUAACAUCUAUAAUAUAAACUUAAUUCAUUAAGAUACUAUCAAAUAUUCAUUAUUAAUCCAUGCUAAAAUCUGAAUAUAUAUANNNNNNNNNNNNNNNNNNNNNNNNNNNNNNNNNNNNNNNNNNNNNNNNNNNNNNNNNNNNNNNNNNNNNNNNNNNNNNNNNNNNNNNNNNNNNNNNNNNNNNNNNNNNNNNNNNNNNNNNNNNNNNNNNNNNNNNNNNNNNNNNNNNNNNNNNNNNNNNNNNNNNNNNNNNNNNNNNNNNNNNNNAUAUAUAUAUAUAUAUAUAUAUAUAUAUAUAUAUAUAUAUAUAUAAUAAGAUAAAACCGUAUGAAAUAUCGCGAUUAAUGCUAGCAGUCAACAAAGAUGAAAUCACAAAAAAAUAACAACUCAAUACACAGAGAUAGAAACAUGAGAUCUCCCGGGAUACCAUCCUUUAGUCCCAAACGUAAAUAUACAGAGGAUCUCCCAGGAUACUGUCCUGUAGUCCCAAACGUAAAUUUGUAGGGGCAUCUUCCGGAAUAUCGUUCUGUAGGCCCAAAGUAAAUAUCCAGCAUAGGGGGAUUUCCCGGGAUAUCGUCUCGUAGUCCCAAAUGUAAAUGUGUAGAGGGAUCUCCCAGAAUACCGUUCCGUAAUCCCAAAGUAAAUUCCCAACUCAUUCAAUAUAAACAAUAGUUUCAACAAGGAAAAAUCUACAGUUCUAAUUAUGUUCGUAUCAAAGAAGAUAGGAAACUCUUACUCUAAACAUGCCACGUAGAGUUCAGGUAGGCAGUAAAAGCAGUUAAGAUAGUUAAGGCACAUAAGCAUACUUUCCUAACUAAACAGGGUAGCUACAUGUACUAGUAUUGCUCAAUUAAAGGAAAACAUAUAUAUUUACUUAAUGAAAAUGGGGUUUUCAACAAAUAUCCCGUGUACGCACUCUUCACCUCACAUACAACAUUCAUAUAUUAAAUAGUACCAAAUCCAAAGGGGGGUUACCUCACACGUGGUUAGGCAAGUCAGUUACCUCGAACCAAGCUCAAACCAAUUUGAAAUCACUCUCUUGCCACAAGUAUCCAAUUCCGAGUGGCCUAAAUCUAAACAAAUCAAUUACAUAACGUAAAUAUAGUGACUAAUUUAGCUAAUGAAUUAAAUCUAAGGCAAGAAAAUAAUAAAAUGCCCAAAAAUUCUCCCCACGCCCAUGCCUCAGAAUCAGGUAAAAGUCACAACUUAUGAACAUCCGUUCACUCACGAGUUCACUCAUACAAAAAUCAUCCAAAAUCGACGCCUAAAUCCCAUUCAAACCUCAGAUUUUUAUUGGGAAACUUUUCCCCCAUUUUUCAAACUUCCACUCUCAAAUUCCUUAAUUAGAUGAGUAAUACAACAAUAGAUUGACAUAAUAUGAUCAAAAUCGAUUUACAAUUCGUCAUCCAAUUGCUCUCCUUCAAAAUCCCUCGAAAAAUUGCCUUCCAACGAGCUCCAAAUUGAAUUUUUGUUAUGAAAUUUCAAACCUUCGAAAUCCCCUUUUCUGUCCAACGAUUCCCACUUAUGCGCUCCCAGGACGGCACCUGCGGUCCCUCUUCUGCGUCUAGAGCUUUGCGCCUGUGAAAAUUCAUUAAUUUCCCAAACUCUUUACUGUUGAUACCUAAUCUUUCUCAAUAUUUUUAUAUAUGCAAAAUACCUUUCAAAUAGCUCGAAAUACCUUUUAAAAUCAAUUUUAUUGCCCUAUUUUAUCAAGAAAAAUCCAAUAAGUAUUUCCAAAAUUGGCAUUUUAGUAAUUAAUUUAUUGUAUUCUCAUAUUCAUACUAAAAUCCCCAAACUUGAACUAUUGCUUGUUCUCAAGCAAUGAAAACGACAAAAUCGCUUCCCAAGUGGCUAAAUCUACCUCAUAUCCUUAUCACACCAAGGAAAAAAGAAAGUCUACUUUAAGUACAAUUGCAUGACUUGAUUGGUACCAGCAAUUAUUCCAAAGCAUAUGAAUUAUCAAACACUUCACAAGAACUUCAUUAUACUUCAAGUGCUCACCCACUAAUGCAAAUCAAAGUAGCAAUCAAGUAAUGACACGAAAGCUUCAAAUUUUACCUCUCCAUCACAAUCAACUUUCUUUGGUCAUUCCUCCAAAUUGAAAAUGGGAUUAAAUUCACAACUCAAAUUGCAUGCGUCCUCACAUUCAAGAAAGGAUUCCACACUCAUAAAUCUUAAUUCAAAGUAACAAUGGGAUAUUAAAGGAAAGAAUUAACUCUCUCUCAGAAAGAUGUUCAAAUGCAUACAAGUAAUACCAUAGGCUUGCCCUUCAUGUAUUUCUCCACUAAUGUAGACAACUCGGUUCAAAAUCAAUUAGGACUUGAGGGUUGUUGUUUAGGCUUUUGGAUAAGGUAUGGUACAAUUUUGGUAAAGUGACUCAAAACCUCCCCAAGCACUACACAAUUUACAAUAAAGUCCACUUCCUUCAAACAUAUUUUCCAGCAUUACCUUACGUUUCCUUCUACACCUAGUCUUCCCUUUAUUCACAACUUUUUUUUACUUUAUUCUCUCUCUCUAUGUGUGUGUGUGUGUCUAUAUAUAUUUCUUUUUAAACUUUUUAUCCCAUUUUUUCUACCUUCCACCUUUUCAACAACUUCCAUAUCACAACUCUUCUAACCAUUCACCCCCAAACUUAGGCUUUUAGCCUAUGUUUGCACUUUCAAAAGUACUUUGGGAGGUAGGGUGCCAAAAGGUAUGUCAAUUAAGAAUAACGGAUUUAGACUUGUAAUAUAGUUGCCAAAGAAUAAGGUUAAAGGCUCAAAAUGGGUUGACUAGGGAAAAUACUCAAGGAUAGGAAUUUUUAGGCAUACUAGCAGUCCAAGGAAGGCCUAAUAUCAUUUUUAAAACCAAGUUAAUCUAUGAUUUUGCCUUGAAGCAUAUUCCGGGAAAGUUUUAGACUACAAGUAAUGCAAAAGAACUAACAAAUAACUCACCACACAUGGCACAUGAAAACUCAAGUGGAAUACUAAUCCAAAAUCCAAUUGAAAACUAUGACUCAAAGAGGUUGCAUAUAGCAUGUGAAUCUAUUUAGUGAAUCAAAGAGCCAAAAGUUGAGUCUAAGAUUCAUGGCAAUUAUUUUAUUUUUCUCUUUUUCAACAAUCAACAAUUCAUAUGCGGAGGUUUAACUCGUGUUGGUACCAAGCAAGCCACAACUUGGCCAAUGGGCAAAAAUCCCAACUCAAACCAUUUAUUUUUCUACAUUAACAAAAACUAAUCCUAACUACAAGACUAAUUCUCUUAAGAAAGUUGUCAAUCUAUCCAUCAUCGUAAAAAGUCGACAAAAAAUUUCUAUAAUUACCCUUUUCAAUAAGAAAACAAAAAAAGGGCAUCCUUGGAAAAAGAACCAUGGUAUAAAGAAAACCAAGGAUAUCGCCACUAACACACAACAUACUAGAACAAAAAAAAGUAAGAAGCUAAAGAACCGUGGUAUAAAGAAAACCAAGGAUAUCGCCACUAACACACAACAUACUAGAAUAAUAAAAGUAAGAAGAUAAACGUCAAUUAUUAAACAUACUAGUAUCAACAUACUAAUAUAACACAAGAUAUAAACAUAAACUAAUAACAAAAUAAAAAACAAUCACAAUACUAAUCUGCCACACACCCACAAAACAUAACGGUUAUACAAGAACGACCCCCAACCAAAGAUGUUGCAAUGUCCCCAAUGCAACUAAACAUGAUAUAGUAAAAAUGGUGGAAAAUGCUCGCUGAAUACUGCAUCAGCUGCUCUCCUCGCUCUCUCAAUCAUCCUCAUCCUCCUCUUAUUCUUCCUCGGGCCACUCUGCAGGAACAUUAUCAGGAUCCACAUCCCUGCUCGACGGUAGCCGGUCUUGAGGCUUAAGGGCCUUCCAUAUGCCCUUCACAAACUUCCACAUCCAAGUAAAGAUUUUAUCUCUUUUCUUCUCUCUAUUUUCACCAUCUGGGUGUGUGACUUUUCCAGAAUGCCAUGGGAAGUACUCAACUCACCAUUCUUCUUGGCCAACUCAGUGUAUGCUUUUCCCAGUGCCUUGAGGUGAUCCCCCUGCUUCUUCUAAUCGUUAAUGUAUUUCUGGAAGUCAUUCUUGGAAAUUUUAGCAGAUCCCUCAGAUGUCUCCCCAGGUGCCUGGGGAAGGCCAGUCACUAGCUCGCAAAUCACUCGCAUCUCCUCACUGAUCACAGCAAAUGGCCCUCCUACUGAAGAUGAUGGUAGACUACUUGGAUUACCCUGAGAAGAAGAAGAUGUCUUUCUCUUUUUGGUCUUCACUGCUCCACCCUCUCCUCUUUUCUUCAACGGAUGCAAAGGCUUCCCCGGAUCUAUCCAAUUGUCCCCUAGAGCUUCUUCUCCCCCCCCCCCCCNNNNNNNNNNNNNNNNNNNNNNNNNNNNNNNNNNNNNNNNNNNNNNNNNNNNNNNNNNNNNNNNNNNNNNNNNNNNNNNNNNNNNNNNNNNNNNNNNNNNNNNNNNNNNNNNNNNNNNNNNNNCCAAACAAGCUAGCAUAACUCAGUGAUAGGAAUUGCUUUUAAUCCAAUACUCUCUUAGUUCACUUAUAAAGAUCUCGCCCACAUUUAGCUGAAUGCCAUCGAGGAUGCAGACUACCAUUUGAUAUCGAGUAAUCAGAAUGUUCCAUAUGUUUGAAACAGGGGAGAUAUGACUAUAUAUGAUAGCCAACCAUAUCUUUGCCUCCGCAGUGAAUUCUUCUGAUGUGAUCCUCCUCUUUUCAGCUGCCCAUGGAACAUCUGCACCCGGGCACAACUUUGAAGCCAACCACUCUCCUGAAGCACAAUCUUUUUCCUUGAAAGGAGUCAUGUCAUGGUCUUGCAGAUUGUAGAACCUGUUCACAUCUUCAGCUCCAAAGCUCACCAUUUUACCCCAAAUCCUCAUCUUGGGAUUUUUCAAUCGGAUCUUUGGGAGGUUUGCAUAAAAUUCCCUCACCCAUUGCUCAUUGGCUCGGCAAGGUUGAGGGGAAAACAAUUCCAUCCCAUGUCCAUUAGCCUUUGAUAGAACCUGGGAGACGUUCUUGGACAUCAUCCAUCACGAUCCCACUCUCCGGGAGGACCUUCUUUGAGAUCAGUUCCUUGUAGUACCGUUUGUGGCAUUGCAUUGUUAGGAACCGAUAGUCAUCAAAGGCCUGCUCUUCUUCCGCAUGAUUUUCACUUGAGGAUCCUUCGGAGUUCGGAUUCAUUGUUCAAUUAUAAUGCAUGUCAAAAAGUGAUAAGAGUGAAAACAUGGUAUGGCUAUGAAGAAUAGUGCAAUUUGAAGCAAUUAUGCCAAAAGAAUGAUCGGACAGUCGAAACUCAGAAUUAGAAUUCUUUUUAGGAUUUUCAGAUUUUGGAAGUGCAAGCCUGCAGAUGUAGCAAUUCCCAUGAUUUUCUUCGCAAAUGCGAAGUUAGUAGAGCUGGGAAAUGCAAAGCAUACCUUCGCAAUUGUGAAGAAAGCAGAAGUCACAACUUUGGAAAUUGCGAAGAAGUCUUCGCAAAUGCGAAGUCUUCAGAGAAGCCAGACUUUGCAAUUGCGAUUAGAUCUUCGCAAAUGCAAAGUCGUCGUCCUCAGUUGAGUUUUUUUCGAAGAACGGUAUUUAAACCUAUAAAAUUUCAAUCCAAGCCAUUUUAAUUAAAACCCAAUCAUUCAUCUAGCAUAAAUCAUGCAUUAAACUUUAUAAGCGACCAUGAAUCAAGAAAUAUCGAUGGGUUUGGCCAAAAAUUUCAUUCGGGCCUGACAUCGAACACAAAAAGAGCGCAAAUGUUUUGAUUCUAUUCGACACGAGUUGGGUACUCAGACUUCCCCACAUUUUGCAAUAAACAAAAUCGCUCACUCUAAACCAAGCCUCACCCAGAAAUUACAUAGAAUUUUUAAACAAAUUUUGACCAUUUAGGGCAAAGGGUGACAGCCAUUUGAGCCUUAGGGCUUUAGAGAUGCCAAGCAAACUAAACAAGAAAAUGAAGAUGAGGAAGAAGGAGUGAUGAUUAAGUGUUCAUACUUGAUUCCUUGCAAAGAAGAGUGAGAUUUGAUUGAGUUUACAGUGAUAAAGGGAGGGAACCACGAGCUUGAGGGCCUUAGAGUGUUUUGUUCGAUUUUAGUUUAAAAUGGGCAAAGGUCAGGUUUUACCCAUCAUGAGUCGCAAUUGCGACUGGACCUUUGCAUUUGCGAAGUCCAAAAUUUCCUGUCAAGUUCGCAAAUGCGAACAAUUUCUUGCAAAUGCAAACUCUGCCCUACAUUUUCCUAACAGUUACUGGUUUUUGCCAUCCAGGCCAUCCCGCCUUGCUCAAUUCAACUUCAAAAAUUCUCAAAACUUGGAAGAUUAGUCAAAAAAAAUAUUCUAAGCUAUUCUAAAAAAGAAAAUUUCAAAAAUGAUGAAAUUUUUUGAAAAACGAUGGAUUCCCUCCAACCAAGCGCCGCAUUUAACGUCGUGGCACGACGUAAACAACAUUAUCAUUUUCUCUCCACUUGGAUGAUAUGAACUGAGUAACUAGCUUGGAAUCAAGCUUGUGACCAUGAGUUGUGGGGGUGGUAUGUUGAUGAUCGAUCCAAUGCUAAAAAAUUUCAUUUUGCAUUUCUUGGCUUUCCAGUGAGGAAUGUUAUUUUGUUUUCUUGUUUCCUCAAACUGUAAAAUGAAAAGCAUGAGAUUUUCCUCCUUGCAAUCCUUCAAUGAUUCGUGUAGUUUGACUUCCUUGUCACCAUACAAUUCCAACGUUGAAAUAUGCUUGGAAUGUGACUUCAAACCUUCACUUUGCAUUUUUUCUAUUUUGACAUCUUCUUUCCCCCCGGAUUAGAGUCAACAUCAACCACAUUUGCAUUUACACCGGUUGAAUCCAGUUCCACAUUUUUCUCGGCAUCACUAACACUCAUUGAGUCGGUUGGCUGAUGUUCAAUUCUUGAUUCCUUAAAGUAAAGCUCACUUUCUUCUACACACUCAAGUUGUUGGGCAUAAUGAGCCUCAAUCAAAGUUUGCAUUUAAUUUUCCAAAGUGCGGAUAUGUUCAUCGUUGUAAUUCAAGCCUUGUUUCAAGUCCUUGAGUGCAAAGUUGUGCUUCUCCUCAUUUUCAAGAAUGGACUCCAAGAUGAGCACUAUUUUCUCAUUUUGAGAAUUUGGGAGUUCUUCUUGGUUUUGAUCAAAUGCCACAAAGGGUUUUCACUUUCAAUCUCCAAGGAAGGAUUUUGGUUUUCGUUCACUUCCAAGGCUCUUUGAACCUUUAGGCUUUGAUCAUUUCAUCCAUUUGUGAGUGCAAUAGUUGAAGUGCUAAAUCAUUUUGGAGACUAGUCUCCAAUAGAGUUCCAAGGCAUUUUUCUCCUUGUUUCCUUCUUCAAGUAGACACUCCAACAUGAGCUUGAACUCUCCACUUUGGUUAUGCUCACUUUCUUCCAUUUCCAUAGCCCUAUAGUUCUCAUCACAAAAAGCAAACUCAUCAUAGUAGGGCUUGGGGAAGGGAAGGUCAAAUAUGCACAAUGGCAACCACACUUAUUACAAAUACUCCAACCAUGGGGAUGAGAUUGUGCACACAAUCCACCCCCAGGAGAAUUUAAAAAAUUUUGCCACGAGUGUGGUCCUCUACAACAAGGACACAUGUCAUCAAAGUAUGAACAUCUACCAUCCGACCAAUUAUCAUUAUAUGAUGCCAUUUUUAAAAAAAUAAGAAAAUAAACAAGAAACAAAGAGAAAAAUAGACUCAAGUUAAGAAAAAUAAUUACACAAAUGUUCACAAGUUUGGACCAAAGCACUUUCGCUUAAUUCUCAAACAACCUAAAUUACGCCAAAUUGUUCCACGACAACGACGCCAAUUUUGAUGACUUCCAAAUCCACCACUAAAAAGCAAUUGACACGGUCGCAUGCAAUAUAAUUUACCCAACUAUGAGUCGGGGUCGAAUCUCGCAGAGAACAAUGUGUAGGCAAUUAGGAAUGUAAGAAAAUUAUCGCUAGUCGUGCAAUGCCAAACACUAAGAAUUUUGGUUGGAAAAGGUUUUUAUAUCUAAAAUGAUGAAAUGUAAACUAAUCUAGAAAGCAAGUAAUAUGAUCAAUGGCUACAAGUAUCAAAGCAUCGGGAAUUACACUCAAGUAACGAUCCAAUGCAUUUCACGAUUUUACAAAUAUGAGCGAGUUUAGGUUAAUUAUUUAUGUCUUAAUUAGCUUCUUUUGAAGACUAACAAGACUUCCUAAUUUAAUUAUUCCUAAUCACAAUUAGAAUUUUAAGAAAGGCUACAAGUAAUUCAAUCCUAUCCCUAGGUAGAAUCUAUAAAAUGAGGGUUAACGCAUCAAGUUCUUGUUAAUUAAUCUUUCCCAACCCCAAACUAUUUUUCCCAAAAUUAAUUUGGAGUUACUGGGUGAGUUAUAGGGUUAGCUAAUCCCUUUGGAAACAUUAAAGAACAAGACUAAUUAAAUAAACAAUUACUCACUUCAUAAAUAUAUAAAAAUAAUUCAAUACACAAGCACAACAAGGUAUAAAAUCCAUACUUUUAAUUAUGGAUAUUCCCAUAAACAAGAUUUAGGUGUUGAAUAAAAUAUUACACACUUAGAUAAACAAUACAAAGCAAGGAAAUGAAUAAAUAAACAUAAAUGGGUAAGAAAAUCUUAACCACAAGCUUUAAUCUUCAAGACCCAAGUGUGUUUGUGCAAACCCGAGCUCAAGAACUUGUUCUCUCUAGUCUCUAUGGACUGAAAAUAAGCCAAAGAUACUUUACAAAUGAGCCCUAUCGGGUAUUAAAUGAUUUAGGGAUAAAAAAUGUGAAAUUCCAGAAUUACCCAUGCCUGAAGCACGUUCUUCGCAAUUGCAAACAAUUGUUUGCAAUUCCCAAACUUGCCUAGACUGCCCAUAUUCGCAUUUGCGAUGAUAUAGUCACAUUUGCGAAGGUUGACCUUUCCUGUUGACCUCGCAUUUGCGAAGCAUUCUUUGCAUUUGCGAACACUGAGUAUUCCUGCUAAUUUUGCAAUUGCGAACCACACUUCGCAUUUGCGAAGUCUGGCUUUUCGAGUUGACUUCGCAUUUGCGAAGUACUCUUCGCAUUUGCGACCCAUCUGGGCACUGCCCUGAUUUUUCCUUUCCUUUGGCUUCUUUUUGACUUUUUUUCACCUUGUUUCUUUGCCAUCACUUCUAAAUCACCCACACCCUGUAAAGUAGAAGUAAAUGCCAUUAAAUACAUGAUUUUAUCACGUUAAACAUAGCAAAAGUAUAGGCUUAAAGGCAAGAUAAGUUGGUAAAAUACCAUCUUAUCAGUAUGAUUUUUACAUAUUUUUACAAAUUUAUUUAGUAUUUGUAAAACUAAAUUGCAUAUAAUUGCAAUAUUAGCCUAUUUUAAGAUUUAAUUACGUUUAUAAUUACAAAAUUGAUUCCAGUAUUUUUAAUAUAAUAUUUAUAUAUUAUUAAUCAUUUUAGUACUUUAAUUUAUUUCCAAAAAUUAUUUUACUAUUUCUUAUGAAAUAAAUAAGGAAAAAUAACUAUUUGGAUGUUAGCCUGUUUUUAUUUCGAUUUUGGCCAGAUUUGGCACCCCUAAUCUAACCAAUUUUAAUUUCAGUUGCCCAGCUUAAUUACUAAAAUUACCUGACCCACAUCCCAUUUAAAUGAACCACCGGGGACCCCUUUUAAUCACAGUUGUCGAUCCAACAAAUCAAUGACUAAUACUCCUCCUUUCCUUUUUAAUUCACCAAUACAUCCCAGCCCUAAUCAUUUGUCACCUACAGCCGCCUCUGAAUCCCCCUUCUCUCAACCCUCUCUCAAUCACUCUCAGAAACCUUAACCGCCACCUCUAUCUCCACCCUAAAGCCACCGGAAUCCAUGGCUUCCAAGGUCAUCAAAGUCCUACACCGGCCUUCUAUAACUCACACACGCCUAAUUUCUGAAGAUUUAAGUCCUAACCAUGAAAAUAUUGGUCGAGGCUUCAUUUGAUUCAAGAUCCAUGGCCAUCCUCGGCCUGCUCCCGCAAGCCAUGCCUGUUUUGAGCCUGGUUUCGACCUCUCCUGCUUAGAUUCAAGCAUUUCUCAUCGUUUGGGUUCCUCUAAAAACCCUAGCUUUGAGGUUUUUCUGAUCUCUUUAGAUUUGUUCUAGAUCUAUGCUUUCCCUAAGCUUUUAAAUGAUUUUCUGGAUUUUCUUUCAUAAAACUACUUUCAAAACUAUUUCUUUUCCCGAUCUAGGGUUUUCUGAGAUAUUUAGAUUUUCUCUGAGUUUCUACUGUGUUUUUCUCUACUGUGUUCGUGUGUGUUUAUUCUACUGUGUGCUUAUGUGUUUCUUCUACCGUAUUUUUCUCUACUAUGUUCUUGUGUGUGUUUCUUAUAAGUUUACUCUGUUGUUCUAGAUAAGUUUCUUCUAAAAGCGCUUCUUAGUAUGUUUCUCCUACAGUUCUUAUUAAUUUUUCCAUUAUGGUUCUUAUCAGUUCCUCUACUAUGUUCCUUUGAGUUUCUCUACUGUGUUUCACAUAUUGUUCAUGAGUUUCUGCUACUAAAAUACAUAUCAAGGGUCUCAGGUCUUUUCUGAGAUCUCUGAACCUGUUUCAAGUAGUAUCCUUUACCCUAAUCACUUGUGCUUUUAUCUCUGCACUCGAUCAAUGGAAAGAACCCUAAAUUUGGGGGUUCAUUCGAGUUUUGAGACCCCUGGCUAUGUGAUUUGCUGACUCUUCUUCUCUGAACAUGCCUGACUUUGAAAACCCUUAUUUUUGGACCUCUUUGAGCUCGUAGAAUUGUUUCAUCUAUUGUUUCAUUAAGUUUCAGAAUCAUUGUUCCAAUUUUGUUUCUUCAUAUGGCUCGGAGUUUUGCCAAACUCUAUAAGACCGUUUACUUGAUCUCUUCUUGCAUGCCUGAUGUCUGUAUGCUCUUUGUAUGGGAUGAACGUCCCUCUAAAAUGGAUUUCAAACUUGUGAUUAGUUUAGACCUCCUUCUGAAUAGGUCCGAUUGAUUUCUUUCUUUGUUUGCUGAUUUCCUUGUGAUUCGACUUAAGUUAAAACUUUCCUCAGCUUUUCUGACGCGGUUCAUUCAUGUUCAAGUAAUUACAAGAUCCCUGACUUUUGAUUUGCUGGCCACUAAUUAUUUUUCUUACCUUAUUUGUGCAACCGUGUAUUUCAAACAUUUUGUCCUUAAGUAACCUUUAUGUCUUAACCCCCAAUUGCCUACUUUACACAAAUUUCUUGUUUGAUUUCUUUCCUUUAAUAACUUUUCCGUUUGAAUCUAAGUUCCUUAAUUAAAGGAAGUCUUGUGUGAUAGAUUCUUAAUUGAUAUUCAGUUCCUUAACUAUGUUCUUACAUUAUUUCUGCUUGAUUUUCAUACUAUAAAUGAACGACUCUUUCACAAACUCAACACACAUUCACAAUAUUUCUGAACUCAUACUAACGUACAAAAUUUUCUCUCUUCUUGUCUGCACUGUGAUAUGUUUACAAGACCUACUGCUUUUCUCUAUUUGUUUCUUUGAAACUGGUAUGUCCUGAUUUAAGCUUUAGCACUACAAUAAUGUGUUUAUUUGCAGCUUUUGUAUGCAUGUCUACUUACUGUUUCUGUAGAGUUCAAUGAUUAGAUUAGCAUGUUGAUUUCUUUCUACCUGUUUCUACUAUGAAUCCCUACUCUCCACCCCCUUUAUGUGUUUGAGCUACGGUUUAAGACAUGGAAAUAUGUAAGUUAUUGUCCAUGAUUUAAAUUUGAUCCCUUAGGAUCCCAGCCUUUAAAUAGUGUGUUCUAACAGGCUUGUGGGUAUGCUAGCACUUCCUAUUGCUGGGUAUGCCCACAGCCUGCUCUUGCCUCUUUCAAUUUCCCUAUUUCCCUUAUACCCCUAUGUGUAUAUUUGUAACUGUUUCCCUUUCCCUUUCCCCUUUCAGAAUUAUGUUUUUGCACUUUCACUCUCUCUUAGUCUCUAAGUUCUGGCCCCCUUCUCUUGAGCCAUGCAUUGGGACCUUGAGUUCCAUCUGAACUUGGACACUCAAGGGCUGGCCUUUCUACACUGCACUUGCCCUAAUCUAAUAAUGUAUUUGGGUGAGAGCAUUUCCCGGAGUCCCCUUUAAGGCUCUUAGGGAAUUUUUACACAUCCAAAUGAGAGAAAGGCUUUGGAUCAUGAUCUCUUGGAGUCGGCUUAUCUCAUAUUUCAGACAUGGAGCCUAAAUCAGGUCUCUUUGGUUGUACUUUUUAUUUCUGAUGUAUCUUUUUACUUUAUUCUGGGAUGUAAUAAUUUUGUAAUGAACUCCUAAGUAUGGCUAGUAAAAAAGGGCGGGUAACUGUGUAUGCAAAAAAGGUAGAUAUACUGCGUAUCUCUGAAAUUCUGCAUUUGCUCACAUAGAUAUCAUGCCUAUAGUUUUCUGCAUUGCUCAUGUAGAUACCAUGUUUACAUGUUUCUGCAUCUGCUCACAUAGAUAUCCUGCUUAUAGGUUUCUGCAUUUCUCGUAUAGAUACCAAGUUUACAGGUUUAUGCCUUUGCUCAUAUAGAUAUCCUGCCUAUAGCUUUCUGCAUUUGCUCACAUAGAUAUCCUGCCUAUAGUUUUCUGCAUUGCUCAUAUAGAUAUCAUGCUUAUAGAUUUUUCUGCAUUCUCUCAUAUAUAAAUCAUGUCCAUAAGUAUCUGGAAAUCUGAAUUCUGCAUAUGCCUAUAAAAAUAUGCAUAUAGGUCUUUCUGAAUCUUGCAUAUCCAUUCUUCAUCUAGCAAUCAUGUUCAUAGGUCUUAAGCAACCAAUUACAAUUAGAUAUCAUGUUCAUAGGCCUUAAAUGAAAUUCAACACCUAUAUAUCAUGCCUAUAAGGCUCCUACAUCUUUACCAUGUCUAUAAAAGGUUUUGAAAGCAACAACACAUCGAAAGCAUGUCUAUAAGAACUAUUAAUUGAAUCUGAACCGCUUCAUUCGGGUAUAAGGCUAAAACUAGUAAUAACAUUUGCAUAACUUCUCCAAGCCGUAGACGGAAGACCAAGAUUCUGAUAAUGAUACAUCCUUAGCUAUGGGAAGAAGUACGAUGCUUUUAGCCAAUUCUACCUCUUAGCGAGGGCUUGACAGAGUUCUCAUAGGGGAUUCCGGUAUAUCGUAUAAAAGAGAAAGGAUUCAUUUAGGAGCGCUCUUUUCAUCCAACUCGAAAUGUCGUAAGUAACAAUAGCGCAAAAGCCAUAGCACAGCUUAUUUAUCAUUUGAAUUUCUCCAAAUUGGAAUUCCUCUCCUAUGUUCUCAAAAACGCUUCCCUUUUUACUUGAAUUUUCAGCGAUCGUUUUUUCUACUAUUUUAGCGAUUAUGAUAGAGAUAAAGCUCUUUAGAUGGUCUUUUCUAUUGUAUAAUUAUUUAUUGUUCGAGUUGGAGUUAGAAAUCCAUCAGGAUUUCGUGUGCUUACUUAUAUUGCUUUUGGUUUUCGUAUCAUGGAUCUUGGGUCGCACUUUAUGUCAUUUCUACUAGAAAAAUAAUCCAGACAUUUGUCGUGUACCUAUUAUGGAAAGCGUUUGGACUCUGUCUCUUUUGCUUUCCUUCUCCUUUUUCUUUGAUGAAUUGUUCUUAGAAACGGUAGACUGCGCAGGAAAG